GCAUCUUCAGUUUCAAAAAUCCAGGAUAUCUGAUAGAAGAUACAUACACCAAAAUAAAAUCAACUUCAGCAUCUACGGACUGUAUAGAUACGAAAAUAAUUCGAACAAUACAUAUACACUGACCUAGAAAACACUUGUAUUAGCUCUUGUUCAUUACAAGACGGCCCCAGAUUAGCUACAAAUAAAGUUGCACAGGGGAUUGUAUUUUGAGGAAUGUAAGGUAUUGAACACUUUUUCUGUCAACACAAGAUAUGAAAUAAAAACAAUUACUUGAAGUGGAAAAUGCAAUAAUUUUAAAUUAACUAUAGUCCUAGAUGCAAGAGAAACAAGGAAAAACAACACGGUUAGAUACAACAAUUUAAUAAAGCAUAAUAAUGUUGACCAGCCUAAUCCAUGUAAAGCAUAUAACUGAGAAACAUUGUACAGUUUAACCACAAAUUUUAAUAGUCUGGAAAAAAAAGAUUAUGAGAAAAGCAUUUUGAGUUCACCACCGAAAGAUUUAACCAUUUAGAACAGCUAAUAGAGGUAAAUAUCUUAAGGUGAUGCAAAAAACAGAUAGAUUGAGUGCUACAUAACACUAACCAGAUUUCCAUAUAGACCAUCAUUGACAGCAUUUCCAUCAGCACUCCCAUAACUUUUGCAGAAAACAAACAAACAGACAAUUAGAUGAGAUAGCAUGAUAUACAAAGGCAAUAGCCCAAAAGAAUUUCUCUUGUACUAUAAACACAUUAGUUAUUUUCUUCUAAUAAUAUAGAAUGAGUUCCCCAACAGCAGCUCAAAAUAAUUAACUUGUAAUAUUGAAAAAUGUGCUCUAUUUGAGUUAGAAGCAAUGACUUCCAUAUAAUAAAGGUGUGAUUAAGUAGUGCAGAUGACCUUUGUGCAGAUGGAUAACCAAUCGUGUUCAUGUUGAUAGAAGGAUUACCCAUUCCAGGCAUGUGAAUGCUGCUAACACCUGCUAGUGCCGAAGAGUGCAAAACAUGUGCAAUGUGAGAUAAAAGUGUCCUUUUGUGUGAUCAACAUUUAACUAGUCUUUAAGCAAGAGAUCAUCAACAUCAACCGCAUAUACAUAGAACAACAUCCUACACACUAAAACAAUCUAGCACCAUCUUACUUACCGGAAUCAGGAGUCGCCCAUGACGGUGCAGACCCUCUAGCUUUCUUAUCCGAGCCACCUCUCUCAUCAUCUGCUCACCAAUGUCAAUCAACCAUCACAAUUCAAUUCAAACCUCUUAAAAUGUAAAUGGGAUUAGGAAAAUAAGGUAAUCAAGACACACACACACCUAUCCGCGUUCGCUUAGAUCUAGAGUUGGAUUUGGCAAGAUCAAUAUAAAGAGUUGAAUUCUUUUCAAGAUCAAACACCAUCCCCUGCAAACCACAGCAAUCAAAAUAUUCAAUUCAGACACUGAAAACUGCUACUGAGCAUGAAAUGUAUGUAACACAAAAGAGCCUUACAUUCAGAGCAUGCAUUGCCAUUACUGCAGAUUGCUGAUUCAUGAACACAGCAAAAGCAAAAGGCUAUCGGAACAAAAAAUCACGUCACAGAAAGCAUAUCAGUAAUCAAUCAAUGCAAACACAAUUACAAGAUAAUCAAAACAGUUGAAAACGCUUUGCAGUUUGCAGAAUCGAUUAUUAUUGUACCUGUGAUGAAUUGGUGGGGCUACGAAGAUGCGAUGAUUCGUAACCAGGAAAUUCGCGGAAGAGGUUGUAGAUUUCGCGGGGUUUUACAUCUUCAGGGAGUCCAGCAACGAAGAGGGUACGGACCUCGUGUGUGGGGGAUUGAGGAAGAGCGAAGGAAUUGUAGAGAGGUUGUUGCUGGUGGUGAGGAACAUACUGCGGAUGCGGGAAAACGGUGCCGGGAGGAGGUGGCACCACCGUCAUGAUAGGCGGCGGCGGAGGUGGCUGAUAAUAUGAAUAAUUGAGAAGGGCGGGUGGUUGGGUUUGAGCGUAGUAGGCAGCCAUGUCGUCCAUCGGAGCACUAUUGCAGUGGUUCGGAAGCCCUAGAGUAUUUCAUUUCUCUCUCAACAACUCCUCUGUUUUUUUUGUUGAAUUGUUGUGCUUUUCAUUUUCUUGACAAUAUUGGGCUGGCCCAUUAGGGAGCUGGUCUUCCUUAUCUGGGCCUGGCCCACUGGGAGUUUUGCAGUGAAAUUAAUUUAACCUACUAAGUCUAGACUAUAGAUUGACCAAAAAAAAAUUCUAGACUAUUGCAAAGGAAAAAGAAAACUGAAUGAAGAGAAAAAUUGGAAGCAAGCAAUUUAUUUUUAUCUUUCUCUUUCAUGAACUUUACAAUUUAUAGUUAGGGUUCAACCCUUGGGGUGUGUAUGUGAGUUCAAUUUUGAGGAGAAGGAAAGGGAAGAUGGAUGCUUGUGAGUAGAGGCAGGCGGAGGAACAUGAGUGGGGCCCAUCGAUGUCACAAUCCUUUCUAUCUUUUAGAUUUUUAUCUUAAUAUUAUGUAUGUAUAUUUUUCUUAUGACCUUUGUAGUCAGCUUAAUAAAAUAGAAUCAAUACUAUGUAUUUUUUUUAUGGCCCACUUCCAAACACGUACACAAGGUUGCUCAAAUAAAUUUAUAAAUUUUUGUAAUUAGAACGUUAUUAUCGUCGCAUUGAUUCUUUUUUACAGUACUCGUUAUGGUAUGUUGGAGUGUUUUUACAUGUGCCCAUAUACCAAUACGUCUAUAAAAAAAAAAGGCAAACUUAAAAAUGUUGGUUGUGUUUUAAACCCUCCGGCGUCCCUGUUGUUUUCGCCCGCCGUCGUUCAUAAACGUGCCAGCGCUGUUUCUAAUCGUAGUUCAUGGGCAUCGUUAUCUGGUUCCCUUCAAGAGUACACUCUGUCGCCGCUGUAGCCCCCAAUUCUUUUUUCGUCCUUCAUCGUUUGCAUAAACCUUUUGAACCUUCCCCCGCCACAAGCCUUUUUUAUCUGAUAAGAAGCACUUCCGCAGCAAACCCCUUUUGGGGUUUUAAAAUUAUUCAGAUCUCUAUGAAAUUUCUACUUUGAGAUACAUGAAUUGAUAUUCUGGGUUUAAAUUGAUAUUUUCAUUCUUGGUUUCCAUUCAAUUGGUUGUUCAACAAUUCAGUCUGGCCAAUGUUUUCUGAUAACAAUUCACACGAAACAUGUUAGGCACAUGUGGGAAUUUAUGAUCACCUCUGCUAUACAGUUUCACUCAUGGAGGAUGGGAGAGGAAGAGAACGACAUCACAGACGAAGAUGAACACAGAGGAGAGGAGGAAGGAUUAGAUUAAUAUUUGCCCCAAAUCAACUUGAAAUGUUUAAAAUCAACUAAGGUUAAAAUCAAUUUGAAAAUCAGAAAGUAAACAUUUUCUAAAAAAAAUGUAUUUUAAACACAUAGUAAAACUUAUAAUAGAGAUAUUUAGAGGAUCAAUUUAACAACUUUAUAAGUUAAAAUGACAUGACACAUUUCCACACUUGGCAUUCACUGAUUGGGUAUAAGAGAAACAACAUUAUAACCCCCUCUCACCAACUAACAUGUAAAAGUUUGCCUUUUUUAUAAGCCAAAUAUCGUAAAAACUCAAGUAUCCCUUACACGUAGAUAUGAGAUUUUAUUAUAUAAUUAUUAUCGAAAUACAACAUAAUCAUAUAAAGUUCAAUCGCUUAGCGAGGAUCGUGACAACUCAUGGGGAGAUUACACCAUCUCUUUAUUCUCUCUUUGCUAGUUAUUGCCAUAACACAAGUACUGACUCAACAAGGGUAAAUACCCUCGUGCAAUUCCAGCUGCUCAGUUUACCCUGCAAUUACAACUUACUCACAAGUUAUAUUUAUAGACAUAGCUAGCUAGUAAGCAAGCAAGCAAUUUCUCUUGCAGAAGCAGAAUGGGUGAAUUUCGUGGAAGCAAAUCAAAAAAUUGUACGUAUGAGUGAUCGCAGGCUGUUUUCUUCUUUAAGAUGAAACACGGAAAAAAUCGCACACGAUCAUGUUUUUCCGUUCUUGCUUAAAGGGAAUUUGAAAUUGCGACCAUGCAAUUGAAAAACGCUGCUUUCUUGUUUUCUUUCAUUGAUUCAAAGCAUCUAAUUCAUCAAUCAAGAAUGAUACGUGUAGCACGUUGUUUUUGUUCAUUGAAAAACGCUUCUUUCUUGACAUUAUUACAAUAUAUAACAUUCAUAUCUAUCAUUUAUAAUAUAUCUCUAGUCCUCCCAAAAGUUGUACACAAAUUCAUGACUCAUGAGUACCUAUUAAAACAUAAUUGUUUUUUAUUACCAAGAUAUCCCCACAAUUGAUAACAAUGAGACUAAUCUUCUCGAAGCUUGAAGAUCAUAUUAAACGGAUAAACUCUUUUUAAUAAAUCAUUCUUCAUACAUAUUACUCUAAGAUUGAAUCCUCGACUAAACUUAAGGAGCUUAGUUAUCUACCAACUCAAAACUAUGACUAAAACGACUUUUAUCAAAUUCAAAAGAGUAAUGCAGGUUACAUUAACUUAAUAUUGUUUGUAAAAUUAACUACAUUAUGCAAUAAUAACCUCAAUUGCCACACAAAUGUAUAUCAUAUCAGAUACUACCUCCGGUCCUAUUUAUAAAAAUCAAAGUUAAAAAAAAUUUUGGUCAUUUCUAUAAGAACCAAAUGAAAGUUUGUGUUAUAUUAAUUAUUUUUUUUCCAAUGAUACUCUUAUUAUUUCCAACUAGUAAAAGUGUAUCAUUAAUUAUUCUCUCUCCUUCACACUCUUCAACACUAAGGUUAUGUUUGGCACGCCUAGCUAAUAAGCUAGCUAAAAGAUGAAAAACUAGCUGAAAACUUAUAAGCUAGUUGAAAGCUGAAAGUUGAUAAGCUAGCUGAAAGCUGAAAAGCUACGUGAUUGGAACAAAAGUGUUUGGUAAAACUAACUAUUGAACAAGCUAAAUUUGUAAAAUGACAUAAAAGGACAUACUUAUAUAAUUUUUUUAUAUUUAACAUUAAUUUGUUUUCACACUAAUACCUAUAUGAUAUUAAUAUUAACUUUAAAUAUUUUGAUUCCACUCAAGUUAUUUAUCAUCUUAAAAAUAUAAUAUUAAUUAUUACUUAUUUAAUUUUCUAUAUUUUUAUUAAAUUAAAUAUAAUAAAACAAAUAAUUUGUAAUUUGUAAUAUAAAGUUAAAUAUAAUGCACAGCUGCUUGUGCGUUAGUGUUGUGUGGAACGGUAUGCAUAUGAGAUAAGUGUGAUAACUGAUAAGUAAAUAGGUUUAGUAAAAAACAUAUAAGGCUAAAGGUGAAAUUUUAAUAAAAUAAUAAGGAUAAAAAUGAGAAUAUAUUUAAUAAGUUAUAAGCUACCUAAACUACUGAAAUAAGCUCAUUCACCAAACAUUUUUAAAAAGUUUUUAAGCUAGUAAAAUAAGCUUUAAGCUAGCUGAAAUAACAUGUCAAAAAUAGCCUAAUACUACUACAUUAGAAAAAAGAGUAAUUUUGGAAGUUUAUUUUAAUUUAGGACAAAUAUAAUGCAUUGUAACUAAUUGAACUACAUUUCUUAAACUAUGAGAUUUUUUUCAGUUUUUAUAAAUAAGACGGGAGGUAGUACCAUGCUAAGCUUUAUUACAAAUAUGAGGAUUGAUGAGGAAUUAAACAGCAACACCAUGUCCUAGCUAUAUCUUAUCAUGAACUUUUGUGCCAUACAUAAUAUAUUAUAUGAGCAAUUAAAUAUGAAAUUUAGAAGAAAAUAUAGGGUUAAAUGUUUUCGGUCUCCUUAAAAUUGCAAAUUAUUGAUUUUGUCCCCUUAAUUUUUUUUAUUAAUGUUAGUCCCUCAUUUAUAAAAAUGAUGAGGUUUUAGUUCUUUAUCCAUUUUAAUAUGCAUUUUGUCGCGGCUUUUUAGAAGGUUUAAACCGUCACUAAUAUAUUUUACGUCAGUUUUUGUGUAUUAGUGACGGUUAAAUUGCCUCAAAAUGCUCCACAUCAGAAUUAAAAUGGAUAGAGGGAUCAAAACAUGAUCAUUUUCAUAAAUCAAAGAUUAAAAUCAAUGAAAAAUCAAAGAAGACUAAAAUCAAUAAUUCACUAUUAAAAAAUAUAUUUAACCCAAAAAAAUAUAUGAAGUGAAUCUUCCAAACCUUUAUAUAAGUGACAGAGUAGCUAGUCUAUCAAUUAUAAGAUUAUACGUUUGAAAACAAAUUAAAGCUGGUGUAUCUAUCAAUUGGGUACCAAAUAUAAACAACUUUUUUAUAAGCGAUAGAUAUGGUAGUUUGAAUGGGAAAAAAAACCAAAAAGAAAACCCCUAUGGUAAAUGAAAAUAUACGGUAAUUAAUUAAUAAAUUUAAAAAGUAGUUUAAGUAAUUGAAUUUUACAUGAAUUUUUUUUUCCCACACUUGUCUUACUAGCUAAAUGAGCUUGCUUGCAAAUGAGCUUUGCUGUGCAUGUUAUUUGUAUGGCAGAGAUGAUGUGGCACGCCACGUGUGUUAAUGAGAACCAAAAUCAAACAAUUUUUCCCUCGUGUGUUAAGGAGUGACAAGGCCCUUGAGUCAAUUGUUUGAUUUCUAACGUUGUAUGAUUAGGGAUCGAUCUGGUAUUAAUUUCUGAUACCCAUUAGCCAUCUUCUCCAAAGUUUUGAUAUCUUUACCAUAAUUUUUCCAAAUUUAACAAAACAAUAAGAUUUUCAAUGUUCGUGGAGAUUAUGGGUUCGACACACUUCGAGGAGUGGUAGAAGUGAAGGAGAGGACGGGGUGGCUGUGGAGGCUUGAGGUUUAAACUGAAAUUGAGUUUCUGAAAAUGCAUCAAGAUGAGGAAUUUGAAUUGGGAGUGCAAGUGUUUAAUUAGUUUAUAAUUAGAUUACUAAUGAGAUAAUAAAAUUGAAGUGGGAAAAUGUUUGAUUUAGGUAUUGAUCAAAACACGAGAUCAGGCACAUUAUCUCCGCCGCACAUUAACACUUGACAUGCUCACCAUACCUCAUUUUCAAGAGAUAACUAAAAGCGGGGUUGGUGGUGGCAGUGGCGACAUUAAUAGUUGUGGUGGUGAUAGCGGCGGUGACGGUGGUGGUAGUGGCAAUGGUAGUGAUGAUAGAAGUUGCAGCUUGUUUCAUUUUCACUUAAAAUGAAAAUGAUUUUUUUCUUAUGUUUUGGUCAUAUUUUAAAAAAUGUUUUUGAAAAAAAUAUUUUCUAAAUAUUAAUCGAAUAUGUUAUCAGCUGUAUUUUUUAUUUAUAUUGAAAAUGAAAAUAGGAAAUGGGUCAAUUCCUACUUUACUAGUAUUUUUUUGAAAUUUACUUUACUUGGUAUAGUGAUAUCAAGGAAGUAAAAAUCAUUAAGCGGCUUUCAAGAUCUCAUUUUAAUUACCAGCUAAACAUACUAUUACUAUUGUCUUUAAUAAUGGGAAUCUUUUCAAUUGGUGCAAUUAACUAAAUUAAUAAAGCAUUAACCUAGACAGAAUCCCAACUAAUCUGACCCUUGUCAUUAAUCAACAGUUCAAAUUAAUUAAGUUAGAUCGAUGACCUCUCGUCAAUGAACAAUCUAUACCUAUUUUAAAAAUAUGUAAUAAUACUUAUGGAUCAAAUUAAAAUAGUUCCACUCUCUUCGUUCCAUGUGAUCAGAUUGCUUUCUCAUGGAAUAAACACUAUACACAUACAGAGCAAGCCUUAAUGCAUGUGCUUCUUCUUUUAUUUGCAAGUACGGAUGAAGUUGCCGGCAUUGACCCAUUAUAUAGGUGUUUUGAAAUAAGUAAUUAGUAAUUAUGUAUACACAACUCAUUUUCUUUUUGAUCAUAUCAUUUUCAUACAUUUUUCUUGUUUCUGCAUUUUCUAAAUAGAUCACAUAUUUCUCUUUUUUCUCUUCUUUAAGGUGAAGGGCUGAAAGUGGAAAUAAAUUGUUAACAUAACAUUAUUCGUUUAGAAACUGAUAAGUCACUCCGAUCAGACUAGAGACUAGAGACAGGGGCGGAACUUGGAGAGGACAUAAGGGAGCCAUGGCUCCUUCAAAAUUCUUAGAAAACUCUUACAUAAUGCCCAUGAUAAAAAAAAAAUGUUUCACUCAUAUUAUAUAUACUGUAAUUUGUAUACUGUCACACAAACUUCAUGGUGACUUGGUGGAAAGUCAUCAUUCCUCUCUUUUUUAGAUACUGGGUUCGAAUCCCGUAUAUGUCAGUAUUUAGGUUACUUUUUUCUGUUUCACUCCCUUAACUAGCUUUAGGUUAGUGUGUAGAAUUUUUAAAAUGUCUUUUUAAAUAAUUUUUUUUGAUAAUCUCUUUAAAUAUUUAUUUGUUUUCUCUACUAUUAUUUAAAUUUUUAUUUAAGUCAACAUUAUUAAUGAUAAAAAAAUUCAGAAAACAAAUUAUCAAAAGGUAAUAUAAAUUCAGUCAACAUUAUUAAUAUAUAUAUAUAUAUAUAUAUAUAUAUCAAGAAGGUAAAAAUUGAAAAAAAAUGAGAAGUAAGUUUUUAAUUAUUAACAUAACUUUUAAUAAAUUUUCAAUAUUCAUGUAUAUAAAUUUCAUCUUUAUUUUCUUUUGUAUGAAUAUAUACAUGUAUUGUUGAUAAAAUAUUUUAAUUUAUGUAUUGAAAUUUUAUUUCGGCUCCCUUAAAAUUUUCCUCCAAGUUCCGCCACUGGACAUGGAGUUCUUAAAAAUAAGAACUAGUUCUUAUAUAAGAAGUUUUACUUUUUGAGUUAUUAGCAUAAAAAAAUUAUUUUUUCUUUCUCAUUCAUCAACUUAUUUAAUUUAAGUAUUGAAUUAGAAUUUAAAUUUAAAUCAAAAUUAUAUGAAAAUAAAAAAUAUUACUAAUAUAAUGGUAUUGUGAGACCAGAUGAAUAGUGCUAAGAACUAAGAACUCAUGGUUGGAGCAAAUCUACAGAGAGUUGCUUAAGCACAUGUGGCACUACGUGCUCACAUGAAUAGUGCCAAAAAUUAAGAACUAAGAACUAAGAAACUAGCAUUGAAGAUGCUCUAAGUACUCUCUCCAUGGUAAGUCAUGGUUUUCUCUCAGUCAUGUUUGUUUUGUUACCAAAAUGAAGUAUAUGAGAUUCUGCAUCUGUGAUUAUUAGGUUUGGAUUUAGUCCUUGUGAGAGCGACCAUAGUGUUCAACACCUUGUACUGCAUUUAAAGAAGAAUAUUUUGACACACAUCAGGACAGUGCGUUCGUCUGUAACACAAUGUUCUGGAGAGCUUCUUGCGCAACCAAAAAUCAAUCCAAAUAGUGUAAAUAAAAGCAAUGUAAGUGCUAUUACUUUACGUUCUGGAAAAACAACUAACUCUCCUGCACCCCUUAAAAUUUUCCUCCAAGUUCCGCCACUGACUAGAGACCCGUUCAGUCACAUGAAAAUGAAAAAAUCCUGAACUGGUUGAACUGGUAUGCAUCGAUGCCUAGAAUCGGUGUUAUAGACCAAGUUAAACAAGUGAAUUUUUUGCAUUUUAAAAAAAAAACUAAGUAUUUUAACUAUUUAUUUUUUUAUCAUAUAAAUUAAAUAAGAUAGUUGAGGACAUAUGAGUUGAGAGGGGAGGUACAUGGAUUAAUCUUUAAAUGGUGCAAUUUAUCUUUUCAAUAUAAAAAAUAUAUAAAUUAAAUAAGAUGAAAAAUUUAUUAUAAUUGAAAAUUCAAUCAUUCUAAUUUUUUUUAAUAUUGUAUAUGAAUGUAUUACAUAGUAACUAUAGUUUAAUGAUGCUUGUCAAUGUGUGGUGCCUUAAAUGAUAUAGACCAAUAGAAAACAUAGAAUUUAAACUUAGAGGAAGAGGAUUAAGGAAGAUUUGGAGGUUCAAUAUAGGUGGAGAAUGAAGGAAGAUGAUCUUAACAUGGAAGAAAUUUAAAUGAUCUCUCGGAGUUAUAAGUUCAACUAAAAACCUUAAUUUUCAAAUUGUGCAUUACAUAACAUAAACAAACUUAAGAACUAUAUGUUAUUAAUUCAUCAAGUCGAUCAUAGAACUUUUUAAAAUUAUAAUAAUACAUACUUUCAUCUUUCUUUAACCAAAUAACAAAAUUAUAACUUAAAAUAUCAUAUGGAAUACAACACCAAAAAAAAAUCUGCGUACCCCAAAAUUCACCCAAUAUAAUUGUGGUUCAACUAUUAAAUCUUGAACUGAUGUUUCGACUAAUUCAUGAUUGGUCCGACUUUUUAAUAUUGAUUUAUAUCAUACAACUUGCAGCCAUGCAUGGAUAUUUGGAGGAAGCUGACUUUUAUGCCUCUUUCAGUGCAUGAGAGAUUUGUAAAAGGGCACGUGCAUACGAUUAUUUAGAAAAGUAAAUUUUAAACUCUAUUUUUAAUAAUGAGUUUGGAUCUCACUUGGAAACUGAUGCCAUUUUUUUGAAGAAACUUGAUAAUGGUUAUAGGAGUAGGAUUAGUAUAAUCAGAGAUCGGAGACCAAUAGUGUGCCUGUUUGGAUAGGAACUGAAAGUCCGUUUGCUUCUCUUGAAAUGUGUGUGCGUGAUUUCCAAAGUGCUCAAACGCGAAAGAUAAAAAUUGUUUCGCUUACGUUCACGUUCAAUCCAACAUAAAUACAAACAGACCAAGAGUCCAUUCGGCAAGGGGCUUGGGAGUAUAGCUUGGCAAUAAUCUCUUCUAUAAUUCUAUAAACAUGGUUCAUACUUGCUCAAUGUAAGUUGUAUAAAUAUGGUUCAUAUGUAGAUCAAUUGUUUAUUAAAUUACUUUUGUUAGUCAUUUUCUUUUAAACUGCUACAUUCGUUUCUUACUAACGGUUCAUAAAGAGAAAUAAAUAGGUUGUAGGCAUGUAAAGAAAUACAAUUAAUUUUUUUAAAAAAAAUAUAAUUUAUUAUUUAUUUUACCUUUUAUAAUGCAAGUUAUCUCUUAUUUUUUUAGUAUAAACAUUCGGUACUCGGUUACCAUUUGAAUACUGCCAGAUUCGGGAUUUAAUUAUAGUUAAGACUCUUCAUCCCUCCCCUAGAGUUUAUUGUAUGGGGAUAGAACCCGAUAGUUAUUCUCACACACUCAAUCUGAGCUACCCCUCUUAAGAAAAUAUCAAUUAAUACAUUUUAAAAUCCGAAGUGGACAGAAAAAAAAUUGGGAGAGGUAGUAAAUCACAAGCAAAUCCUUCUGAAAAUAUCAAAGAACAACAUCAAUUAACAACAUAAUAAUCAAGGAAAUUUUCUUAGACUCUUAUAAUAAUGUCACUGGUUCCCUUAUCCUAAGAUUUGCUGAAGAUUCAAAUGCACCAGCUCCAUAACUAGAACGACAAGAUGCAAUUUUUCUUUCCUUUUUGCUUUCUUGGAAUACAAUAUGAUGAGGUGAAACUUAGCAGAUGACACAGGCAUUAGGAUUCUCUUCCACACUAGUGUAAUAGUAAUGUGGCUGUCUCAUCAUCUGAUUCUGACAUGCUUCAUAUACCUUCGCAAUAUCAACCAUGUUCUGAUUAUGAUUCUGAUUCUGAUUCUGAUCGGUUUUCUUCUUCUGAUCCUCUGGCUUCUUUCUCUCUUCUUUCUUAGGAGGUUCCUUGGCUGGUCCAACAGAGAGUAUCUCAGUAUGACACAGCUUCCUCAGCUUACCCACCACUGCCACAGGGUCAAUGUCCCCAGUUAAGGUCAGUUUCUGCUCAUUCAUAUCCAUAGAGACUGACUCAAUCCCUGCAUAAAGCAUGUCAGUGUAUAUUUAGAAAUUUUUCUCCUAUUGAUUCUUAACUCAAAAUUCAUGUGGGGAGAGCUAGCAGCUUUUGAAUUUAAAAACUGAUUCUGAUGAAAGACAAGUUAACUCAAACAUGCUAUUUAUCAACUAUGUACAAAAUUACAAGGGGUUGAAAUUCCAUACCUGAAAUAUUAGAGACUUUCUUCAUAGCUUUUUUCUUAAUUUUGUCAUCGAGUAGUUCCACUUUUAGCACUACUUUCUGCCAGAGUGCAAAUAAGAUCGACGAGUGUUAGUUAGGACACUUGUAAUUUAAUCAAUCUAAUAAAGAAAAACACCAAUCUUCAAUUUGUUUUUCAAGAGACGAAAAGACAAGCCUAUGUUGAAAUUUUGACACGAGAUCUAAAGCUUUGAGUGUCAAAGAGUGCCAAAAAAUUAAAAUAAACAUAUAGAUUAUAUAGUUGAUCUAUGAUGAUGAAUGAAUGAUGAACCAUGCAUGGAGCUGGAACUGAAACAGAGCAAAACUAAAAUUAGAAGCUUUCACAAUAAAACUUGGAGGGGUGACAAAUUCUUACAUUCAUUGAUGUGACGCUGGUGAAAAAUAAGGGAAGUUUUGUUUUGGAAGUUCUGGUGUAUGGAAGUUCAGUUGGUUGAAGGUAUUUAAAGAGAAAAAUAAUAAAGCUACAGAGACUAGUGUGUGAGAUAGCGAGAUAGGAAGUCAACCCAAGUCUAUAAUUAUGAAAAAUAACAAUGAUAUAUUCACACCUCAUUUUUUAUACAUUUCAUUUUCACAUAUAUUAUUUCUAUUUUUCUUCUCUUAUUAUUUAUCGCAUCUUAUACUUUCUCUCUCUUACUUUUUCUUUUAUUCCUAACUCUCUCCUCUUUAAGAUGUGAAUGAACGAUUAUUCUUAUAAAAAAUGUUUAUAGGAAGGCUAGUGUUUUGUUUUUUUUUUGGUAAAUUCUUUUCUUUUUGGUAAAUGACUAGUGUUUUGUUUAUGUAUGAAACAAUCAAUCAAUCACGUGCGUUAAUACAUAAAAACCGUCAUAAAAAAUUUAAUAUAGAUUAAUUUCACAUAUUUCAAUAAUAUUGGAACUAAAAGCUAUAACAUCUUUUUAAGGAACCGAAUUCAAUUCAUAGGAAUUAAAAACAUGGUUAACCAUUUACUUGUUUAUUUUUGUCAAAGUGCCACAGCCAAAAUAAAAUUGAAGCUAGGUGUAAAGGGGUCUCGCAAUCAAGAGCGUGUUGACCUUUGUUGGUAAUGGAUUAAGUGUGUGUUUGGAUUUCCAUGUUAAAUUCAAUGUAGAUUCAUAUUGAAAAUAACCUGUUAAAAUUAUGCAUCUACAAUUUAUGUUAAAUUUAAUGUGACGAAUUUCAACUUCUUUGAAAUACGUGAAAUCAAAUUUACUACUACUAACCUCUCUAAGAGCAUCUUCAAUGGAGUCCUUAUUUUGGGACCUUAAAAUAAGAUCCGGAUCUUAUUAGAUCUCACCAUUAGAGCUAUCCUACAUGGCAUGAGAUCUUAGCAAAAGCUAAGAUCCGUGCCUUAGCUCAGGUACUCUCAAAUGUGAGAUCUUAAAUAAAAUAAUAUUUUUUUUCUCUCCUUCAAUACCAUAAUCAAAGUGAAAAUUAGGGAGGAAAAUAAAUAAUAUAAAAUAUAUUGAGUACUGUGGGCUCAGACAAAAGUAAAAUAAGAUAUCAACCAUUAGAGUAAAAUGUGUAUGAAGACCUUAUGAGUGUCUUAAAUCCUAUGUGGCAAUUUGGGCCCACAAAAAUUGAGUUAAGUCCCAAAAUAAGUUUAUACCAUUGGAGAUGCUCUAACAAGCUUCUAUGCUCUUUGAUUUUAAUAUAUUAUCCAUUUAAAAAAAAAACCCUCUAACAAUAAACAAAGAUAGACUAAGUGAUUUAAUGCUGCACAAGAAAGUGCAAUAACAACAUACGAAGAGGAACAAAAGAAACACACUUUAGCCAACCAACAAAGAAAGAAAAACAGAAUUGACAAGAAAAGGCUAGCAAAGGAACCCCCUGGAGAUGGUUAUGGCCCAUCACAAUUAAGUGGGCCCAGCAGAAAAUAUCUAUUUGAUAUCUGAGGCCCGUACUCAUAGCUUUUGGUCCCACUAAUCACCUCAUGACGGAAGGGAGAAUCUUGGGCCGAUGGGUUUCAGGCACAAACCCUCCUUAACACGUAAGUAACGCCUUCCCGUGUCGUUUUUGUUCAGCAACCGACUCUUUCCUAUGUCCUUCAUACUUCACAGUUUUCAAUUAUUCUAUAACUAUUUUGUGGACCUUGGACUUCCUUUAAAUAAAAAAUAUUGGUGAGAAAAAGUUGAAGUGAAGUUAUAUCUGAAAAUAUCGUAUGAAAAUAUCUAUGUUUAUAGUGCAACCUUAUUUUAAUAAUCUAAAUGUGAUAAAAUAUCUUAAUUUGUCACAUUUUAUAUUCCCAAUCAAUUUUGUUAGCUUUAUUAUUUUUUCUUUUGUUAGCUUUAAUAAAACAUGAAAAACAAGAUAAUAUCUAAAUUAACAUGGGUGCUUCAAUGGGGAUAAAUUUACCCAUUAGUGUGUUAAAUCUUUCUAAUGAUUAUUCAGCAAUUUAAACUUAAAUUAUUAUUCUUAUUAAGAAUUUAAUUUGUCUAUUACUAAACUAACGCAUCGAGCAUGUUUAGGCUGUGUUACUUGUGGUAUGAAAAAAAUCAUAUUUGCACAAUUUUCUUUUUAUCCUUUUACAUGAUUGGAAGUUCACAUGGCACUAGCAGGAAUUGUAUCCCUUGGAGGAAAUGUGACAAGGCAUAUGUUGUAAAGAUAUGUGCUUUUGACUUUGGAGAUAUUUUGUUCAAAAUGCAGUAAAAAAUGGAGUGGUAAUUAACAAUAUGAUAUUGAUUAUUUUGUUUAUCUUAACGACUUUAUUCAUUAUCUAAAAUUUCUAAUUUGUCCAUGCAUGAUGUGUAAAAAAAUAUGGAAUAUCCAUUAUAAAUUGAAUUGCAAUUAAUAGAAAUAUUUAUCUCAAACAAGUUUCACUUAAAGCAAAAAGGUAUAAAAGAAGAAAAACAUUUUUCACAAUUGAAACCAACUAACUCUCAUGCUUGUACUUGUAAGAAAAUCAACAUUCCAAUAAGUAAAAUCAUUUAGAGCAAAAGUUGGGUCACUUUUUCCAUGAUACAUUGCCUCCAUCUCCAUCCUUGUAUUGUAUAUAUAAAAAAAAAGACAUUAGAAAAUAGUUAGAAGGAAGAACACCAAGCUUUAUUAAAACGCAAACCUAGGAAAAUAAAAACACUUGAUUUGUCAAAUGUUAUGGCCAGCAAGGAUUGGCAGUUGUAAAUACUACUUUAGAUUCUGCAGUUAAAGCCAUUUUCUUUCUCUUUGAAACCCCACGAAAAUGGUGUCAGAAAACCCGAAUGCUUCAGAGGCUAUAUACUUGGAACCCUUAGCAGAUUCGGUGGAGGACCCUGCCAAGAAGACACGCAAACCAUUCACCAUCACCAAGUCUAGAGAGAACUGGACCGAACCUGAGCAUGAUAAGUUCCUUGAAGCUCUUCAACUGUAAGAAAAUGAAAAGUUUUCCUUUUUUUUCAUCUUCUUCUUCUUAUUUUGUUCUCAGAAUGUAGUGUGUGAAUUUUGAAGUUCAACUGAGACAUGGGUUUUAGUGGUACCCUUGUGUGUGUGUGUGUGUCACUGUUUGAGUCAUGGUUUCAGGAAGCUACUUAUGGAGAAUUUUCACAAUUGUUUGUCAAGGACUGAGAUUUUGGUAUUUCAGAUUGGUUUGGCAGGGGAAGAAUAAAAGAUGUUAGGAAUGGUCAAUGGGGAGGGUAGAGUUUUAUUACUACUGUUAUCAACUUAUCAUUGUUAUUUGGUGAUUGUUGUCAAAAUACACUAUGUGAAUCAGUGAAUGUGAUCAAUUCAUUCUUUUUGGGGGGGCUUCUUAUAAUGGUUGAACUUAGUUUACUAUUCCUAAAUGGAAUUUGCCAUUUCAAAUUUAAGCAAUUUGUUUGUUUUUCCUUUUUCCUGGUCUUGGUGUAACCAUUUAGCAUCAACUCAUUGUUUUUUUUCUUUCAUUUUGGAUCCAGAUUUGACCGUGACUGGAAAAAGAUUGAAGCUUUUGUUGGAUCAAAAACAGUUAUCCAGGUAAUUUCAAGUGCAAUCGUUGAUUAGAAAUUGUCAUAAGCUGUUACUUCUGGGUACCAUUGGCCAUAAAUAUUUUGGAUUGCAUUAGUUAUCUUAUAAUUUAUGGAAUCAGAAUGUGAAUAUUGGUUAUGUUACAUUAAGGAUUUCAUCCCUUGCCAGAUAAAGUGUUGGAUGCUGGAAAUGAAAUGCCAAAAAAGGAUAUUUCCCUUUCUCUCCCUGCCUCCAUUGCUAAUUGGACUGAUUUCUUGAAAACCCUGAUACAUAUGACUUUUCCUUUUGUUUGGUGGGACUAAAAUUGUGAAACCUGAUAGUCAUAUUCAUAUACCAACUUGCUUUUCUUUUGAGGAAAGUUCCAAUAGCAUUCAUUUAAGAUUAACUUAAGCUAUUAUGCGGGUUCCAUGUGCUUGUUAUACAAGGAUCAAAUCAUGCUGUGACUUUUAAGUAAAGAAAGUUGAGGACAAAGAAAGCAUUAAGCUUUUCAUAUUUUAAAUUGUGGACUAAGCACAGGCUCAUCAAGCCUCAUGCUGAAAUGCAAUUUAGUUUAGAAGAAUAGAGAUUAUAAGGAUUAAACUCAUGAAUAUUUAGUCACAAAAGUUUUUGUACCAAGUCAAAGAACCAACUAUCCUUGGUGUUUACUGUUUAAUAUGUUAGUUGUAGCUUUGGGAAUGUAUUUAUCGUCUAACAAGAAUGAUGCAAAUUUUCUUAAAUGGGAUACCAUCAUUGACUAACAUGAAAAGCAGACUUCUUUUAUGUUGUUAAAAGAAAGAAACAGUUUCAUUGGGGAAUAUUUUAGAAUAUCUUUUAAAUGUCUGUUAGUUGAGUGCUUACAGCUUAAUGGAUUCAAAGAUGUCAGUGCAUAUGACAGUUGGGAGUUGUUAGGAUUUCUAUUACUUUUUCAUGUGCUUCAAUGUUUAAUGGAUGCCUCAAGUACCCAUAAGAAUGACUGCUGAUUUUGUAGAUACGUAGCCAUGCACAGAAAUAUUUUCUUAAAGCUCAGAAGAGUGGGAAAAGUGAACAUCUUCCUCCACCCAGACCAAAACGAAAAGCGGCUCAUCCAUAUCCUCAGAAAGCUUCCAAAAACGGUUACAAUCUUCACCAUAUUUUGUUUACAACAUAUUUUAGAUUAAUUGUAUCUAAUGAUUGUAAGUGAUAUUUGACAGUUCCAGUACUCUCGCAUGUUUUAGGAUCCUCUCAAUCUUCAUCUGCUUUGCUUGAACCUGGAUCCAUCCCCAAGCAUGAAUCUUCGCCAAUUCUUAAAACUCCUAUACUUAACACUUCAGUUUCUUCCGGGUCAAACAACACUUUGCAGACAACAGCCAAUGUAUUACAUGGUACUGAAAAUUUAGAUUUUAUAAUCCUGGAAUAUAUUUAUGGAACUUGUUUGGAUAGUUUUCGUAUGAUACCAACUAGUUUGUUGUGUUUAAAUAUUGUGUGUUUUAGGUCAAAAAGUGAAUAAUUGUUGCAGCAGCAAUGAAAGCACUCCUAGAGCACGCGUGGUUGGUGAAUCUAAUGGUCAAGGAAAUAAUAACCAUCCAUUGAAAGGCAAGGGUUUAAUGAUUUUCCUUUCUAAUUUCAGUGCUGUCAUCUUUGAUUGUUACAUUAAAUUUGAUGUGUGCAUGACAAGGUUAUGGAGUGUUGUUGUAAGCAUAAUUUGUGCACAACUGCAUAUUUCAGCAAUUAUGUUAUUGCUUUAUAGUGUAUUCCUGUUUUAUUAUCAAGAAUAUAACUGUGUUGGGUCCAAAGUAAGUAUGGAGUCUCUUAAUUUCCAAUCCCCUUCUUGGACAUGAAUCUUGAUUAUCAUCAUCUGAGUCGCCAAAAUAUUCAUUUGAUAUUUCCUUGAUGGUACCUUCAAUUUAUGAAAUUUGAUACGCUUUCGUAUCUUGAACAUUUUGUUAUUUUAAUGUGUACUCAACAUGUGGAAGUGAUGUCUGUCCUGUUUUUCUUGUUCUGCGACUCAUUUCUUAUGAGAAUACCCAGAAAGCUGUCUUAUCCUCAUAGGAGUUUUACAAACUCCCACCUACUCAUGUCAAUAUAGCUACAUACAUUCGAAGUUAUGUGCACAUUUCUGCAAUAAUUUUCUUUUCAUAGAAUUUACGCAUAUGAUUUUUGUAUCUUUUUUAGUAUUUAUUGUUGUCUCACUGUUUUCCAAUGUCAAUUUAAUUUUCCCCUCAUUUGUAAUGCAGUUCUUCCUGAUUUCACUCAAGUAUACAGAUUCAUUGGCAGUGUAUUUGACGCAAAUGUAACUGGGCAUCUACAGAAACUUAAAAAGAUGGACCCUUUAGAUGUUGAGACGGUAUGUGUUUGUGUGAUUUCUUGCUUUGAACUCCCUUAAGACAUUAAAGCAUUAUUUCUUGCUUUGAAUACCUGUGUUAAUUUGUGUCAACUAGUACAAUUCAGAAGUUCUGAGACAUUUCUUCUUUUUAUGACCUUGAAUAUUUUUAGGUGCUGCUGUUGAUGAGAAACCUGUCUAUCAAUUUAACAAGUCCAGGUUUCGAGGAUCACGUAAGUAUUCAUGCCACUGAUCUUUGGAUUACUUAAUGCAUGAACCUCACCACUAUUUUGACCCAACAUCAAAUUUUCUCUUUAAAAGAACUUGUUUAAGGAUCCUUACUCCUUAGCUUUAGAAGGCCGUCCCUAUAUAUUCCUCAUCUUUUGAAAACUGUCCAUCUCCGACAAAAGCAUCUUAUGCAGAUUGGAAAUUUCAUCUUCAUAGAAACUUGAAUGACUAAAUUAGACAUCAAAUUGCAUGACCAAUGAAAGAAGGAACAAUAAUAAAUUUCAUUUAUAUGUGAACCGGUUGUAAUUCAUGCAGAGAAGGCUGCUCGCGUCAUAUGAGGUGGAACCCGAGAUAGAUAAUUAUAUCAAUGUAGAUCAAGCCAUGCAUGAUGAGCAGUUGAAGAGUGCUACUUAGAUGGAGGGGAGGUUGAAUAUAAAAUUGGCUGUUUUUCAUGCAUUUCUGCAUGAUGAGGUAAGAUGCCUCGGCAAGAAAACAAGCUGAGAUUCCAGCAACAGUCUUAUGAUCCUGCUCUAAUUAGUGGCUUAUGUUGCUCAUCGAUCAUCUCAGCUUAACAAGGCUUUUGAUUCCCACAAUUCGAUUCGGUGAUGUAUAUAUUAAUGAAACAUAUUAUAGAAGAAAAUAAUAAUGCUGGACUCUAUAGAUUUCAUAUUUUUGUAAUAUCCGAGACAGUACUAGCAAGUUGAUGACUUUGUAAACAAUAUAUACGUUUGUUUGCCUUAGGAAGGGAAUGCAAUUUCAAAAAGGAUGUAAAAUACUUCAUAUUAAUGUAGUGUUUAUUCUAUUUAAUUGUGUUUCUAUUAUUUGAUAAAAAUUGUUAUUAGAUUACGGAAUUUGGCUCUAAAAUAUAAUUUUUUACUAUAACUCAUUAUGUUGUAGUAUAUAGUUCUUCUACUAAAACUAUAACAUGUAAACAGUAUAUACGUUUGUUUGUCUUAUUCUGAAAUUUGUUGAGAAAAUAAUAAGGAACGGAAACUAAUAGCAAUGUUUACAGUGUAUAACACAGCAAUAUCAAAAAAAGUCUCUGCAAUUCAACAUUUCACGUCCUUGUUGGAAAAAGUAGUAUGCACCAAAUCUUUUGUCAACUGUUAGCCUUUACUGUGUGUCAUAGUAUGAAGUUUCAGGACAUGAAAUUUCCAUGUAUCUAGGAGAGAUCUAUUUAGUAUUUACACAACUUCAUUACUGUUUCAACAAAAGUAUGAGAAAUCUGUGCAGACAAUUGUGAUCUUUUUAGACUUUUUCAGACCAAUAUUCCAUCUACAUCCCAACAAUUGCUGGCAGUGGUUCAAAGUCUGCUACUGAAAACCUCCAACAUAAGGGUUCCAGUUCCUUGCGCUAUCACCAUGAAGAUCUAACAAUGAGUAGUUGACAAGAUCUAACAAAAUCAGUAACUAAAACACCACAUAAAUUUCAUUUCUAAAAUGACUCAUAAAAAACAUUUGACAAGUGAUUUCUUACCAAGACUCGGUGGUCUUAUGAAACCUCCAUAGCUCGAUUCAUGAUAUCCUAAGCAACCCUGCAUUGAGUUUAGCUUUUGGGUGCAACAAGUCAUGCGAGAUGCAGGCAGGUGUGGUGGAACUGGAACACCAGUUUGUGGUUCACACAAUGAGCUGAGAUUAAGUUUGCUUGGAUUUAUCAUCUGCUGGAAUUUCGAUUGACCGACUUCAUGAUCAAACCUUCUCAUGUCAUCUUGGGAAAGAAGGAAAGGUGGAGAAAUUGAGUUGGAUGGGAAAGGGUGGGAAAACAGAGAAAAUGUGGGGGAACCAAUGAAGUUUUCUUGAAAACUGUUAUGACUUUGUUGACCCCUUCUUGGAUUCAACUGAUUAGAACAGAGCUGAGGGUAAGGUUGCUGUGCAUGCACAGGGGGGUAAAAGCCCGUUCCAGCUCCAUGAUGCACUAUAGGAUCAUCAAAAUGUGGUGCAGGAGUACUGUCAUCAUCAUUGAGUAUGGACUCCACUAGCUUUUCGAUCAUCUCAUGAGGUGAUCUUGGACUGAACCCAUCAGCUUUAUUUGGACUUGUUUCAGGGUUAGACAUGAAAUUAUCACCCACAGCCGAAUUUCCCACCUCUGGCAACAAGAAUGAUCCAUCAAAUGCAAUUAAACUGUCCUCAUCAGGCCAGCAAAUUUCAGAGCUAGAAUUUGAUUCUCCAUCUAAGCUGUUGCAGGAAGAAUUUAACUCCAACUCCUCCUGAGAUUGGAGAUCAGGGUUGCAUCGAUCUUGCUUCGGGAUGACUGGAAUUGCUUGCUUGACAUCUUGCAAAGACAAAUUACUUAAUUGCAACUCCACGGUACCUUGCUCAUAUGCCACUCGACAAAGGUUUUUCUUGAAAUUUCCGCAAUUCUCUUGGUUAUGGAAGCUUGUUGGUCUACUUUUCUUUAGAGAUUCCAUAACUUGGCAAGUUCCUAUUGGAUAUUCCACAUCAAAGUUUGAACAUUCUUCAGACUUCAUUAGGUGAUCAGUAUCCAACGCUGAAAGAUGACAAUAUGUGUUUAUAUGGUUUCCAGACGACUGCCAUGGAUUUACUAUUUUAUCAGUAGUUAAAUCUUGCUGCCUUUGUGUAGAACAACUUUUAGUCAUCUCCGGCAAGGUGGAUGGAUGAACAGAAUUGCCUCUUACAGCUCCUUCAAUCAGACUUAGUUUCGAUGAAGCAUCUAAUUGCUCAUUGAUCAUAAGAUUGGAAAUAAACUGCAAGAUAUUUGAAUUUCUUGUUGCUGGUGUCAUCAGAAAUUCCUCUGAACGAUCCUUCGAAUCUAUGUUUUGUAUAGAAUUCCCCUUGCCCUCCUCCACUUCCCUGACUAUAUCUGCACAUGAUUUCUCUUAAUGUAAUGUUAAAUACUAAAAUUUAUACCUUCCAUUUCUUUAACAUUCUUUAAUGGUUUGUUUUUUUAUCAGCUCAAAGAAGCUGAACAGAAUUGGCUAGUCAUGUUAUAAUAGGAAAAACUAUAUAAUAACCUUGUGGUUGACAAAUUGAAGGCCUAAGAAGACAAUAAAGAAUUGAAAAGAGAUUUGACCUUUUCUCCAACUUUCCCGUUCUGUUUUCUCUUGAAUUGUUCCCUCAGAAGAUACAGAUGUGUCACCGUUAAGCAAGACAUUGCUGUCUCUAGGUGGAGGUAGUGCCUGAAAGAACAGAAUAUUAUGAAACAAAAUUUUGCAUGCCUAAGUCUACCUUCCUUUAUGAAAACCAUAUUUGUAGACAGACCUUGUAACGACAUGGAGGCCGAUACGGUUCAAUAGUCCUAUGGAGCUGAUGAUUAGCACUGUCUACAUCUAUAACCCUUGGAGAAAUUUUCUGAGGCAUGAUUUUCUGAAGUCCUGAGUCUGUGUUUCAAAGCACAAAUUUCUUAAGUUAAUUUUAUCAUAAUCCACAACAUGCAAUGAUGAUCCACACAAUACACAUUAAUGACAAGAAGAUUAUCAAGCAACAGAUUUUUCAAUAGAAUUUGAAAAUCAAACAUUACACACCUGAAACACAAGUAGGCACAGAUAGAAUUCCAGGUGAAUCUUGAAACACACUGUUCAAGAAACAGGCACAAAUUAAACAACCUACACAAAACAGCAGAACAAUACGCAUGGAAUCUUAUAAAAUAACAAUGUAGUAGAGUUUUCCUAACCAUGAAAUUGAGAGCUGAACCUCCUUCGGUAAUUUCACCGCAUUAGGACAAUCUGCUUUUGAUAAAGAGAGAAGAAACUCUCUCGAGUACGAAAUUUUCGAUCGCCUGAAAAUACCAAAUCAAAAGGUUCUUGAAUCACAAAUUCACAAUCACAUUGAAACAGAACAUCACAUGAAGCCAAAUUCAUCACAUUUGGCAACAGAGUGAAUCCUCACCAAGCUAAAGCCUCAACUCAUGUAAAAAUCAUCAAAAAUUCAAGUAUUCAACAGCGUUCAAACAAUUUUCAAAUCAUAAUUAGGGGGAAAACGUUACACGAUAGUGUAGUUGACUAAACAAAGAUUCACCGUAACAAGAAAUUACUACAGUGAAUCUUCACCAAGCUAAAGCCUCAAUUCCAAUAUUCUACUGCAUUCAAACGAUUUUCACAUCUAAUUGACUAGUUUCUCAGCCGCCAAACAGAAACAAAGAUUCACCGUAACAAGAAUCAAACAAUAAGAAACUACACUAGUUCAUGAAACCGCACUAGCCUAAAACAUGCAUUAACAGUAACAAUCAAACUCAAAAUUCAAUGAAUCAAAGCUUACUUGUUAGAAUCUUGAGACGGUGGAGCAAAGACAUUCGCGGUUCCAUUUUCCUGGCUCAUUUUCUCGAGAAAAUCCUCCGUCAAAUUUAGCGUUGACUACUCACAGUGUUUGAAUUUCUCCAAGAAACACCAGAACAGAACACAUGAACCGAACCUUACAACAAUGCUGCUAGAAGAAUCGAGAAGAAACUCGAAAACCUAGAAGAUCAAAUGCAAGAAAAUUACUCAGGAAACAGAGAGAAAUAGCAACGAAAAUAGCGACGAUGAGAAGAAGAAGUGAAGAACAGCACCUUGAGGGGUUCGAUACGGUGGCGGUGACGGUGGUGGAGUAGAGGUAAUAUCCAGAGGGAGAAACAUUUUCCGAGCGAGAAGUUUUCUCGGGAAACAGAGAGAAAAUGGGAGAGAAAAUGGAAAAGGCUUGCAGAGGAAGUUACAGAGAAAGUGAGAGACUGUGAGUGUUUCUAUUUGUAGAAUUUUGAUGGCAACGCGACGCAUUUAUUUACUCUCAGCUAGCAUAGCACACUGACACUAGUUGCUACAGGCUCACGUAUUUAGCAUGGCACAGAUUAAAAUAUUAAAUAUUUUUAUUUCUAUUUUUGUGUUUAGUUUGAUACUCUGAUUCAGCUUUUUAAUAAAGUGUGAUAUUCUCAUACCAUUGCCUAGUUAAACUAUUUUUGAAUAGUGUUGAUAUGGAUUUUUAGCUAUUUGUUUUUUUAGCCCUCUCAAAAUUUGUUUAUUUAAGUAAAGUACAUUUUAUGCUAAAAGACAUGUAAUGAUACCGAUUUAGAUUUGGUAAUAGUUUUUUGUGUUUCAUUUCAACAAGUUCAGCUACUUAAUGUAUGAUUUUGGAGGAAAAGUUUUGUUUACACUAAUGUGGAAAUAGAGGGGAGAGAAAGGAAAAAAGAGAGAAAUUUAUUCAUUUUUUGUUACGGGAAAUUGGGAGAGUAAAAGAGGGUAAGAAAAAACAGUGACUCUUUUUCAGUGGUCUGUCUAAUUUGAAGAUAAAGUCUAUAUUUUGUUUUUUUUUUUACGGUCAGAUAAAGUUAAUUUGAAGAUAAAGUGAGACCGUGUGUGAUUUUUGUCUACUUGCUUACUUUUGUUAGGGGAGGGUAAGAUCCGGAAGAAAAAAAGCUUCACAUUUUUUGCAAUUCAUACUUCAACUACACUUGCAUAAGAUAGAGAAAGAAAAAAAAUAUGACAAAUGGUGUGAUAUGAAAAAGAAAAGAUAUAUAUAUAUAUAUAUCAAGAAAAAUAAAUAAAAAUGAGACGAAACUGAAAAAAAUAAAUUAAUGAAUCAAAAUCUAAUUGUGAUCACCCUAAUUUGAAGAUAAAAGUGUAUGUAUUCUUUUUAUCCAUUUUCUUAUUUUAUCACUUAAUUAAUGUCAUGCUGAUAAACAUUAUAUGAAGAAUGGUAGCAAAACUUUUUUUCUAACACUCUUUUCAACAUUCUUUUUACUUAAUCGGUUGAAAUUCAUGGGAGUCACAUUAAAUUGGCUAAGAGACUUAUUUUUAGAGUGACUGGAUUUAACUAAAUUAAAACAUUACCAUAACUAGAGGGUUUGCGGAGUAAGACGCUUGGGCUGUGUGACAUGGGAUGUCCAUAGCACUUGGUUUAUUGGUGUUUUCGUGAGUUUUGGGCUUGAAAAUGCUUAUGGGCUGAGCUUUUGGCAGUGGAAGUAGGAUUGCAUCAUGCAUGGAAGCUUGGUUACAAAGAUAUUUAUCAUGUAUGAGACUGCAUUGAUGUUGUGUGAAAAUCCUUCCUAACAGAAAUGAUAAUUCAAACAUAUUGGGUGAGGGAAAGCAUCACUAAAAUUAGAUUCAUGCUUUCUUUGGCUCGGAAUGUGGAGGUUGAUUAUAUCCCAUGUGAGAAAAAUAAUAUUGUAGGUUUUCUAGCCCAUCGAGCUUUUAGGAAGAAGGGUACUCCUCUUUUAAUUUGGCAGAGCCCAUCUUUUAAUGUUAUUUGUGUAUGUGCGCUCUAGUGUACUUUAUUUUUGUUGUAGUUUCCCUCUUGUAAGAAAAAUAAUAAACAAUCAAAUUCAGUAAUAAGAGAUUUUAAGAAAAAACCAUAAUUAACACUGCUACUUUCAUCAUAAAACCACAUGUUAAAUCUACUAUUAGUUUAUCAUGUCCCGUCGAGUUUGGUGGUGAAACUAGUGACAAAAGGAUUUCUUACUUCUUUGCAGCCUUCUGAUUUUGAGCUGGUUGAAGUGGAACAAAAGUUCAUUCUCAAAUUGUCUUUGUUUGUUUAUUCUGUUAGAUAUGAAAAGUUCAACGAAUCUGGUUUGUUUGGGUCUUCUUUGUACAAUGAGCACUAACUGAUAACUACACACGCUUUAUAUCAUGGUUUGGUUCUGAAAAUGAACAUCAAUAAAAUAAAUUGAAAAGGAGAGGGAAUUUGGAUGGAAGACAUACACAGAUCAGCUUCAUUGAUGUUUGUUCUAGUAGUACAAAAUCAGCUUAGGCUCAUCAUAACACAUUUUGACAACACAAAACUAUAAACCAAAGACCAAGAAAGAAUAUAACACACUAAACUUUGUAGACAGACUUUCAGACACAAUGCAUCUGCCACCAUACUUACAUGAUAUAUGAUAUAUCCUUAGUCAACUUCCUCCAUCUUACUCUCCUCAGCACCAUCCUCCUCCAGUGGAGGCAUAUCUUCAUCUCCACCAGUCUCCUCCUCAUCAAUGCUAAGACCAAGCUUCAACAUCCUGUGAAUUCUAGCAGCAAAUGUGUUUGGAUCAUCAAGGCUGAAACCAGAAGUCAAGAGUGCAGUCUCAAAGAGAAGCAACACCAAAUCCUUCACUGAUUUAUCAUUUUUAUCAGCUUCAGCCCUCUUCCUCAGCUCCUCCAUGAUCCCAUUAUCCGGGUUAAUCUCCAUGGUCUUCUUGCUCGACAUGUAGCUGCUCAUGCUGCUAUCCCUCAACGCCUGAGCCUUCAUGAUCCUCUCCAUGUUCGCAGUCCAUCCGUAUUCCCCUGUCACCAAACAGCAGGGUGAAUCCACAAUCCUGUCAGAGACAACCACUUUCUCAACUCUGUCUCCCAAGAUGUCCUUCAUUGUCCUGCAAAGAUCCUCAAAUGACUUCUUCUUUUCCUCUUUCUUCUUCUUCUCUUCCUCGCUUUCAUCAUCCAAUUUCAAUCCCUCCUUAGUAGCAGAAACCAACUUCUUCCCAUCAUACUCUUUCAAUUGCCCAACAGCAUACUCAUCAAUUGCAUCCACCAUGAACAGCACCUCAUACCCCUUCUUUUUCAGCCUCUCCAAGAAUGGUGAAUUCUCCACAGCCUUCUUGCUCUCUCCUGUGAUAUAGUAAAUGUCCUUCUGCCCCUCCUUCAUUCUGGUAACAUAGUCCUUGAGACUAGUCAACUCAUCUCCACUCUUUGUAGAAUAGUAUCUCAGCAAAUCAGCCAAUUUAGCCCUGUUCUGACUAUCUUCAUGGAUACCCAGCUUCAAGUUCUUGGAGAAAGCAUCAUAGAAUUUGUUGUAAUCCUCUUUAUUCUCCGCGAUCUCGUUGAACAUCUCAAUGCAUUUCUUCACAAGAUUCUUCCUGAUCACCUUCAAGAUCUUGUUCUGCUGCAGCAUCUCCCUGGAAAUGUUGAGUGGCAAGUCAUCAGAGUCAACCACACCCUUGACAAACCCAAGAUACUCAGGAAUCAGCUCCUCACAAUUGUCCAUGAUGAACACCCUCCUCACAUAAAGCUUGAUGUUGUUCAUCUUCUUUCUUGUGUCAAACAGAUCAAAAGGUGCCCUUUUGGGAACAAAUAGAAUGGCCUUGAACUCAAGCUGACCCUCCACUGAGAAAUGCUUGACAGCCAAGUGGUCUUCCCAGUCAUUGGUGAGGCUCUUGUAGAAGGAAGCAUACUCAUCCUUGGUAAUCUCCUCUGGCUUUCGCAGCCAGAUUGGUUUCUGCUUGUUGAUGAGUUCCCACUCAUGAGAAACCUCCUUAAUCUUCUUCUUCUUAGAAUCCUUCUCCUUCUCUUCAUCAACAUCCUCAACUUCUCCUUCCUUCUCCUUCUUGGACUCAUCAUCCUCCUCAUCAUCACUGAUCUCCUUCUCAGUUGUCUUCUCAGUCCAGAGGUAAAUUGGAUAGCUAAUGAAUUCAGAGUGCUUCUUCACAAGAUCCUUAAUCCUUCUCUCCUCCAAAUACUCCAACUGUUGCACAAACAAGACUCAACCAAUUAACAAUUUGACUAAAACAAACACCCAAAAGAAAAAGAAAAAACAAUCGUAGUUAAAACUUCAAUUUCUUUACCUGAUCCUCCUUGAGGAACAAGGUAAUCUUAGUUCCUCUUCCUAAUUGUUCACCAUUCACAUCCCUGAUCACAGUGAAGGAUCCACCAGCCUGUGAUUCCCAAAUGUACUGUUCAUCGUCAUUGUGCUUGGUGGUCACAAUGACCUUCUCAGCAACAAGGUAAGCAGAGUAGAAACCAACGCCCAAUUUGCCCAUCAUGCUAACAUCAGCCCCCGCCUGUAACGCUUCCAUGAAUUCCUUCGUCCCAGACCUCGCAAUGGUUCCCAAAUUGUUCACCAAAUCUGAAACCAAACCACACCACAUAAACACACACAAUAAGAAGCAUAGCACAGCACAUUUAAUCAAAUUCUCACAAUAAAACCAUUGUUUCAAAUUGCGGCCGCAACAUAAUAUAUUUCAGGGUCACACCCAGUUGCGGCCGCAUCAACCUGCAUUUGUCUACAAUUCCGCGACAACUGCAACCGCGAUCGCAACCUCAAUUUAAAUAAAACGGAUAAAGAGGUACAUUACAACUACGUACCUGCUUUGGUCAUGCCAACGCCACUGUCAAUGAUGGAGAGAGUCUUGUUAGCCUUGUCAGGAACGAGUCUAAUGAAAAGCUCUGGUUGAGCAUCAAGCUUCGUCUUAUCGGUGAGUCUCUCAAAUCGAAUUUUAUCCAGAGCCUAAAUGUAACAAACACACAAAUCAAAUUGAGUGAUUAACGAAACGAAGGAAAGUAAAAUGUUAAUGGUGGUGGUGGAAGGAGGAGAGGCUUACGUCGGAGGCAUUACUGAUGAGUUCACGGAGGAAAAUCUCCUUGUUGCUGUAGAAGGUGUUGAUGAUGAGGCUGAGGAGUUGGUUGAUCUCAGCCUGGAAUGCGAAGGUCUCGGCGUCACGCAUUUGAACAUCUGCCAUUACGAAAUUAAUGUGGGAAUCUAACUCCGCACUUGGAACACCAAAAUAUGUGAGCUUAGAAAGCUAGCGAUGUUAUUUGUUGAGAGAAGGGAGAUGAAGAAGGGGAUUUAAAUAGCAUUAAGCAGAAGCGAAUGUUAAUGAAAUAGAGAGCUCUGGAUUCUUCUACCAUGCUCUUGAAUUUUCAUCUUUGGCGCGAGUUUGACGUUUGUUCUAGAGUGGGCUAGUUACAUCGUUUUUAGUUUUUGGUCAGUACAAUUAAAAUUAAUCUAUUUUAUUUUUAUUUCUUAAUUUCACUUUUAUUCCUAAAAACACGUUGUUUUAAAAUAAAACAUUAUUUUUGUUUAUAAAUUAUUUUUAUGUGUAUAGGAAGUUAGGAACAAUAAAUAAAUAAAUAUAUUCACAAAAUUUGAAAGAUAAAAUAGAAAAAUAAUUUUAGUGUCAAUAAGUUAUAUUUCGCAUUGUCUAUGUAGUUAUUAUGAAGAGAAUUCAAGAAUCAAGGCUCAAAGUGGGGGAGAACUGUGUGAUGUUUGAUUUUUUUUUUCUUUCUUUUAAAAUCUAUCUUCCGAGCAAAAAUAUUGCAUAUUUCUCUUUUGGGUUGGGCCUACACUACCAAGAGACCACAAGUUGAUAAUGGAUUUUUCUACAAUGUCAUACUUAUUCAUAUAGUAGGGAAUUGAUUUUAUUCGAUGCAAAACUUAUCCAUUAGAGGGAGGGAAGGUAAUACUGCAUUCAAUGAGAAGCAAAGUCUUUUGUGUUGACUCCCCCUGACAUACUCCAUGAAUCCAUGAUGUUCAAAAAAUGUUCAAUUAGGGUUUAUUAAUUUUAGAUAGAAACUUUGAAAAAUAGUCAAAUUAGUCUGAAUUUAUAAGCGAGUUUGAUUUUAGUCCCACGAACAAAAUAUGAUGUAUAGUGACGGUCAUUUUUAUAAUUACUGACGGCUCUUGACCACCACUAAACAUCAUCUUUGCAAUGAUUGACUAAAAUCAAACUCACUUACAAAAGGUUUAAUUUGACAUUAACCCUUUUUAAAACAUAAUUACAUAUUUUUUUACGAAACCGACAUUUUAUUAGGUAUGAAAGCGAGGAAGGGAUUAUAGUUGUAUGAUAAACAAAUAUUCAAUACUUCAGUUAAAUCUAAAGACCAUAAUGAACAAAUUUCUUAUGACUUAAUAAUAUCUACUUGUACUUUAAAUAAAUUUUGAACUAAUAUUGCAGAGUUCUCAAUAAAGAGAAACUCUUUCAAAAAUAGGCGUAUGCCGUUUGAAGAGCCAUGCACACGGUAUUCUUUAGUAAAAGGCGAAAGAAUAGUUCGCUUUGUGCAUAACUCACGGCUGCGUGUUUAAAACAAUUAAAACUCGUUCAAUUUAUAGGACAAGCAGCUUACAACUACUUAUAAACAACCGAUGUGGGCUUUGGUCAGUAGCAUAGCACAUAACUCAGCAGCUUUGGCUUUCCCCAAUUCUCGAGUCUUGCUACCCUCCUCUCAUCCACUCAAUGCUCACUCUCUCUUUUUCAUGAAGCUUCCUCCCAUAGAGAAAGACCAAAACCUCUGCCUGGUUUACAGGUUCCAUAUCAAUGAUUUAGAGUUUACAAGCUGUUGUUGCCAAAUGAUUUCACCCUUCUUUAAGGACUGGUGGAAUUCAUUUUUAACGAUUACUACAUUAAAAGGUCACUUAUUUUUAUUGUUGUGUGUACCUGAGAAUUAGCUAGAUUUACCUGUUAGAAUUCAAAAUCACUAGUACUUCCUACAUUUCAUUAAAAAUCAAUAUGAACAAGCAUUGCCACAAAUUGACAUUAUACACAGUUAAUAACUUGACAUAUUGAAAAUUGCAACAAAUUGACAUUACACGGUUUUUGAACUUGAGUUUGUAAAUGCUGAGAAAUGAGAAUGGAUUUUCUUUGACGUGAGACUUUAGAGGGAAUGGAAUUUACAGUUGCCAAAUAAUCCUCCUUUUGUUGCCAUGAUAUUUUGCUGGAAUUGUAGAACUAUAGUAUUGGAUUUGGUAGGUUGAUUGAAGAACCUUGCUAAAGUUCACAAUGCUUAUAUUGGUGGAAAAUCAUGCCAGGAGAGUUUCAAGCAAAUUGAGACAUGAUAGCUUUGAAAUUGUAGAUUCCCAGGGGCAAGCUGGAGGUAUUUGCUGAAUUCUUUUGUUUGGAAUGCUGUUAGAGCUGCCUCUUCUCAGCUUCUUGACAUCUAAUUGCUGUGUAUGGGAAUCCUAACUUUGUUACUAGAAGAGUUGUGGGCCUCACUUGGAGCUGUUGCAUAAUGAGAUGAAUGGUCGUUCACUUGGUUACUAGAAGAUUUCAAUGAUACAUUACAUGGUUUUGAGUGAACUUUUAGUACCGACCCUGCUCAGAGAAUGAGAGUGUAGAGACUGAAUGUCAUUGAUAAUUGCUUAGCUCUUGAUCAUAGUCCUUAGUUGCUAGCUUCUUUUAAAACAACUGGGAAGUAGCUGGCCAUUACCCUUUGAAGAUGAUAGAAUGCGAGGUGACAUGAUUUUGUGAGGCAGGCUUAAAUUAUUUGGACCAAAAAUAUAAAAAUUGAACUGAUUUGGUGGGGUGUGCCAGGCCCUUGCAGCAGUGUAAGGCAUGGGCGACACUCGAAGGCCCAAGUAGCAAGCUACUUCAGUGGGCCCUUCCCCUUAAAAAAUUAAUUUAAUAUCGUGUGGACAUAUGGGCUCUUCACUUGUCACGCUAUUUAUAACUUGUAAUCAAGGGCUCUUCACUGAUGAGUUUCGAUGUGGGACUCAUAUAUGAACACUCAGCACUGCAGUUACUGACUAUCUAUCGAAGAAGGGCUCUUCGCUGAUGUUUUUUCUUAGAGUUUCAAUUCUGCUGCAGUCACUGUAGAUGUUGGUUGGUCCAGACCUGAUAAAUCAAGCUUUGGAUGGCUGGCACGGUCUCAUGAUGGCAAACUGAUGUGUGUUGCAUCUCCUUUGGAAGAUUGAAGAUUGGAACACAUUGUAGCUGAGGCUUUAGCCCUCAGAUGGUGUGUAUGUUCAUGGCUCAAGAGUUUAAUUUGGACAUUGCUCAACUCUCAUUGAGCUUCUAGUGUUGGACUGCAAGAAGUUAGCUGAAUCUUUUGUCAUAGUUACAUUCUCAUGUUUGAAGGAAAGCAAAUUGCCCCGCCCAUGUAUUUUCUUCUUUAGCUUUUGAUUUUGAACAUCCUAGGGGCUUUUGGUGGGAUGAUCCCCUUAAAGUUUUGAUUUAAGCCUUUGCCGAAAAAAGAACAAUGUCUUACAACGCUUCAGAUCACUUCGCUAAUUGUUGCUGGCACAGCAUAAAUAAGUUCUGCCAAAACAUCAAACAAAUAAUGUCUUUAUUUUAGUAGAUACUGAGAGACUGAGAGAUUGAUGAGGUUUAAACCAGUCUCGCACAAUACAAGCAUAGCUAAUCAGUUUGCCUUGUGUUAAUCUAUAGUGCUUAACACAAUAGGCUCGGUAGAGAGACUGUACCUGUACCCUCUAGCUACAUCUACUUGUAUAAUUGUAUUGGUUUUAGUCAUUUCUAAUGGGGUCUAGACCUCUCGUGGUGCCACCAGAAAAUGAGUAUGUUGUCACAGUCUUUUCAAAUCCAUCUGAAUUAAUAUUAUGGAAGUUUUAAAAAUGCUUGAUACUUCCCCUCGCUUAUGGUUGUAGUCCUUUUAGAUAUCAGUAUUACUAUUACUAUCUCAAACUACAGGACAAAACACAAAAGCUUUGCUUCUUGGGGGAAAAAUCAACAACAGAGGUUAGUAGGCAUGUUAGAUUAAUCUAGGGUAUAAACCCCAUGCUUAGUUGUAUUGCAUUACUUAGGGUAUAAACCCCAUUGUUCUAAUAUUGCAUAAUUGUUUUUGGCUUAGAUAUCUACAAAUCAACUACUGCUUUUUACCGAUUAUGAAUGAAAUAAAUAUUAAACUAAUAAAGCAUAAUUAUUUACCCUCCUACUUCAUCUACCUCAAGAUCUCAUUUCUUGAUUAGUAAGGUUGGUGAUUUCUAUCGCUGUCACGCUGUUUCGGUGAAAAUUGGGUAGAUUUACAUGUUUAAACUUUAAACUAUAACCACUUUAACGCAUUUCAAUAAAAUUACUUUAUAGAGUAUGGACAAGCUUUGCAACACAUUGACAUUAUGAAAAUGACUUCACUUUCUCCCUUUUUUUCCUUGCUACACUCUCUAAACCCUUUGCUAUUAAAAAGAAUAGACAAUACUGCAAAUUCCAAUUACUACCAUUUGAUUUCUUUUUCUUAAAACCUCUAUAUGGAUGGAAAUAGUUUUGCUACUUCACAAGGCUUAGUGAGUUAGAUUAUUUGUAACUCUAGUAAAUAUCAGUGCAAUUUCUUUCAAGUUGCUUUUCCACCUUUACUCAUUCUGAUAGGCAGAUUAGAAAUGCAACUUCCAAUGUGAGAGACUCAAGUCUAAUACCUUGCUAUUGGACCUUAGCAUAUGGCAUUUCAAAUUAAAUUCCACACAAGUCCCAUUCACUUGUUACUGCAAUCAUCAGCAGAGACAAUGUUGCAAUCUUCAAUUCUAGUGUUUGUACAUGAAUCUAUUAAGAAGGAAAAACAAUGGGAAUAAUUACAUAAUGUAAUGUAUACCAGUAUAAUUAGUCCUUGUAGUUGAAGUUUUUUCAGUAUAGAUGUCAUCAUUGGGAUAAAGGAUAAAAGUUUAACAAUGUUAAUUAGUUCGUGUUGAGAAUGUUUUUAAUCGUAAUUUUCAUGAGAACGUUUUUCCCUCAGUAGCCCAGAGAUCAAAACAUCAAAGCAAACAAUAGGGAUAAGACAUGAAGAAAUUUCUUCCACCUAAACCGAAUUAGCCAAGGUUUAACUCCCAGAGAAUAAUGAUUUAUCUCACUUAUAAUAAUUUUUCUCAAAUACCAUCAUCUGUUUAGUUUUUUAAAUAUAAUUUCCUAACCUAAGCAGAGUAUGCUAUUUGAGAAAAAGCACUACAUUAUACCCUUAAACGUCAAUUUGUUACCUAACUUUUAUAAUAGGUAAUGAAGGGCUCUUUGCUGAUAACAUUCAAUGUGGGACUCAUAUAUCAAUGGAUAACGAACCUUCAACAUUGGAGUUACUGACUAUCUAACGAAGAAUUAUACUUGGCUUCACUUAAAUUUUGUGUAUCACCAAGAAGACAUCAGAAGAAACCAGUAGCCACUAGCCAUUAUCAUGAAUUGGUUAUCUGGCAUCUCUAGAAAAACUAAUGCGACAAAAUGGAGAACUGGUCAUGUAAGAAUUGUAUUGAUAAUGUUGGCAUUGCAUUGAUAAAUUCAAUGACUUCUCAAAUAAGUGCAGCAUUUAGGUUUGAGGAUAGCACACCAGUGAUUGACGUGAAAUAGAAAGUAAAAUCUAAAUUAAGAAAAUUGAAGUAGUAAAAAGAGCACAGCCAAUUAGCACAGAUUUCCUCCAGCUUUUUUCAUGCUUGGCACAGAGCUUCAUCCCAUGAAAAUUGCCCAAAACCUCUGCCUUCUUCCUGGUUUACUGGUUCUUUAUCACUGAGAAAUCAAUGAUUCAGUGUUUCCAAGCUGUUGCUGCUAAAUGAUUUCACUUGGAUCCUUCUUGAAGCACUGAUGGAAGUCAUUUUUAAUAUCAGUGUAAUUUCAUUGAAGUUUCCUUUUCCCUUUACGCAUUCCGGUAGACACAUUAGAAAUGCAGAUUCCAGUGAAAUGACCAUUAGAAAUUCCACAUGUGAAGCUAUCAGUAAUUGUAGGAAGUGCUUUGGGGUCAAAACCAGGGUGAGGAAUCAUGUGACCCUUAAGAGUCUAUCAUUAAAAAUACAUAUUUCAUGGUGUUCAAGUUCAUUCCAAGAAACAUAUUUCAUUUAAUUCAUAGUUUUCCUCUACCAGCUGCUGCUUUACUAGUCUCUUCAAGAAAUCAUUUAUUAGGUUAAUUAACUAGCACUCAAUCACAUUUACUGCCUUCAAGCAAUCAUCUGACUAGAAGAAUGAAAUAGCUUAAGCAUGUCAAUGUUUAGACUAAUAUUGCAGAGUUCUCAGUAAAGAGAACUCUUCCAAAAAGAGGCGUAUGCCGUUUAGCGAGACAUGCACACGGUAUUCUUUAGUAAAAGGCGAAAGAAUAGUUCGCUUUGUGCAUAUCUCACGGCUGCAUGCUUCGACCCAAUGAAAACUCGUUUUAUUUAUAGGACAAGCAGCUUACAACUACUUAUAAAUAACCGAUGUGGGCUUUGGUUUGUUGCAUAGAGACACAACUUAAGCAGCAGCUUUGGCUUCCCAGUUCCCAGAGUCUAGAGUCUGGUCACUCACCUCUUUCAUCAACUCAAUGCUCACUCUCUUUCAUAUUUUGUAUCCCAUAAUUCAUCUAAUUUAUCUCCACAUAUGAGAUUAAAAGAGGAAAAAUUAAGUUGUCAUUGAAGCUUUCUCCCAUAGAAAGGGACCAAACCUCUGCCUGCUGGUUACAGGUUCUAUAUCACUAACAAAUUAAUGACUCAGACUUUCCAUCUUGUUGCUGCCAAAUGACUCAAAUUUGGUCCUUCUUGAAGUACUGAUGAAACACAUAUUUCAUGGUAUUCAUGCCCUUUACACAUGUGCUCCUAUACCAGCUGCUGAUUUUAUUCUAACAGGCUGAUUGAGUAUUGAUAGCUGUGAUAUCUUUAAAGUUUUGAGUAAUAAAAUUUCAUUUUCUUCCCUCUUUUCUAAUUCUUCUACUACAUGUAAUUUGUGUCUUUCAACUAAAUUGAGUUGGUUAUCUUUAAACUUGAUUUUUGUGAUAUAUGGGGUCAUUAUGUACAUGAGAUGGCAUACUGAAAGAAGUAUUUCCUGACCGUUGUAGAUGAUUGUUGCCGUUUCAGUUGUGUUUGCUUUUGAUUUUAAGUCCAAAUUAGAGUCUCUCACACCCAAUUUGGGGUUGUGAUCAAAUAUCUUAGAUCAAACAAAUAUUGGAAAGAAACAAUAUGCACUAUUGAAUUUCGUAUUCAUAAGAACCUUGGGUUAAUUAUACCACAAAAGCUAGUAUUACUGAAGUGGAACUCAAGUAUCAUUAUCAUGCUUUGCAAUUGGAUCCUAGCGCUUAUUCAGGCGUGGACAAACAUUUAUUGAAUGUUGACAUGGUUUGUUUUGUAGUCUCCUAAUUUGAAGUAAUAUAGAGCAAGAAACCAAACUAUAGCGUUUAACCAAACUAAUUGCUUGUGCUAUAUAUGUUGCCAUUUUGCAAUCAGGGAGAAACACUAAUUGAUGACCAGAGGGUGUAUUGAUGUUGUAUCCGAUCAAACACUAAUUGGCCAUUUCAUGCCAUGUACUUGUCGAUAUAUACCUUGGCCAAACAUUACAGCUUAUGACCCUUCUUUUCUUAGCUAAAUCUUAUCUUAUGGCCCUGCUCUAAUUAGUGAUUAAAACUCCAUUGAUGUUGAUGUUAGGGAAAAAAAUCUAUAAGCGGUGUGGGACUUCCAAUAGCAUAUUCCUAAAGAGCAAGUUCUCAAAGAGGCGCACCAGUACAAUGGCUUUAACCUCAAACGCACCAAUCUUUUUCUCUGGUAGAGACCCUUUUAAUAAUAAAAUAAGUAUAUUAUUAUAUAAAGUUGUCUAAAUUAUCCCAUGAGAUUAUUUAACUUCAUCAUAGUGGACUAAUUUUUAAGACUAAAAAGUUAAAUUCUUUUAAAUUAUAUUGGUCCAUUAGAAUUUCGCUAAACUAGACAACCUCAUAUUAUAUUUUAACCAUUAGGAUUGGGUCACAGUGGCUAACUUUUACAUGAGGUACUAACACUUUCAUGGCUAGAGAUGAGUUAGAGAAGAGAGAAGAAAAAAAGUUAGGGUAGAGAGACUACUUUCAUCCUUGUUUGGUUGUAGGAGAUAGGAGAAGAGAGGUUGAAUGGGUCAAACACCUUUUUGAGUAGCUUUCCUAAAUGAAGAGAAAUUGGGAGCGAAUGAGUUCUUGUGGUUUUUCACAACUGUAACUUUAGUGACGAUGUUAAAUUGAUUGCCUGAAAAUGGGUUUUCUUUUUUAAUUUGAAAGUGGGUUUUUGAUUGUCAUAAAUUUUUAAUAUGUAUAAAUAUUUUUUCUUUCACCUCAACAUCAUUAUUUCUCUUUUAUUUUUAUCGUUAUAAAUGACAUACAAAAUUUAGUUAUUUUUCAACUUUUUCUCUCUAUUCAUUUGUUUAUCUCUUCACCCAAAUAAAUCAUAAAUAUUGUUUGAGUCUCAUUGCCGCAGUAGUAGAAGUUAAAAUGACAAAACUCAUGUAUAUUUCGUACGUGCCUAGCAUGUGUUACUAGAGUUAUCUUGCUAAUCAUCCAAAUAUUUGAGUGGCUGAGGGAGGAAGGAAACAGAAGUGGGAAUUAAACAUCAAAACUUUAUAAGAAAGUUUGGAUAAUUGGAUUAGACAUAAAAUUGAACCGACCAGCACUUGCUAGUUGCUACUACCUAAUAAUGCAAUUGCCAAUAGAUAUAUCAUAUAUAAACCCUGGGAAUUUGCACGUGUCAUAGGCAAAGCAUUUUAGUGGCACACGUGUUUUGGCGUAGGGGUAACGGUUGAGCCAAUACGUGUUGGAGACACUAACAAGUAACAACGUUUUGUUUUGUGUAAAGUGACACUAGCAACACAAUAGGUUCAAGAAAAAGGGAAUUAUGGAUGUAAUUGCUAGUUGUAAUCGUUAACAUGGGUGCUUAUGGUUGUGUUUGGGUUUGUGAGCAGACAUUCAGCGGCCUCAGUGUGCAGUGGCAGAAGAAGAAAAAAUUUGAGGGAGCUAAAAGAAGAUUGCAAUAUAUAAACUAUAAUAUUUUGUAUUAUUAAUGCACAAAUGUUCAUAAAAAAAUAGUUCACAUAAUAUGGAUGUUGAAAAUUUAUUAUAAGUUAGGUUAAUAAUCUUGAAAAUUUACUUUUUCUUUUCAAUUUUUGGUUAUGGAUAUAUAUUUUACCGUUAAAUAACUUCCUUUUAUAAGUUUGGAACUCUAUAAGUUUUAAUAUUUGUGCAAGAUAACUAAGGCUAGCUGUUAAAAAUGAAAAAAAUGUAAGAAGGACUGUGCGUGGUUCCCAACCACUGAACCAGUGUCGUGUAUUGUUUAAUUUUAUACACAUUUUGUUAUAUAUAUAUAUAUAGUAUUAACUGAAUAUUUUUUUUACCCAAAUACUUUUUUAAAAUUUUUGAGGCAUGUCAUCAAGAAGGUCCGCCACUGCGUCAGUGGGAUGUGGCUUUUUAGUUCAUCUACGUGUAAGUUAUUUUAAAUAUGUAACGUGCAUGUAACGUGUGGUACUAAUUUUAUGUUUUUAAUUUAUUAAAACAUAUCAUGAGAGAUUGAUUUUUGUAAUUGUUUUUUAAAAAAUGAUAGGGCUUGUGAUGUGGCCCUGAUUGUGAUUCGUGGUUAGGUCUGUAAGGUGUCUUUGCCCAACACACCAACACUGCAAUCCCACUCUGAUACCUGUCAUCGUACUUUGCUCCAACAUCAACCCUUGGUCAUUCUCCAAACUACGUAAAUGCCCAAAUGUUGCAUAAAAAUUAAAAUACACUACCAAAAAGCAAUGGCUUUGCUGUAAUUUAGGGAAAAUGUCAAUGGCAGAUGUCUCAAAGAACAUCCUACAGCUUUAAUUGUUCCACGAGUUCUGUUUUGUAUUGAAAUUGAAAUAAACCGACCACUAGUCGAUCACCUCAAUUGUGUGGACAAAAGAAUUCUGGUUUAUAUGCAACCCCUCUCUUUCAACUCUCCCCACAUCAACAACAACAACACUCUUUGCUUCAACUCCAACCUCAAUCCACUACUCCCCCCCCCCCCACCAACAAAAAACACCCCUUUUUCCUCCACCCCCACCCAAACCCCACUCCCCCUCUAGGGCGGCAGGCCCCCCCCCCGCCACAACCUUAAACCCCUCCAGUCUUCUCCAAACCUCAACCCUUUUCCCUAAGCUAACCCCAACAUUGUUCUUCACCCCCUUAACCUUAAGAACUUCCCAUCACAGAACAGUCCUUCAAACCCGGAGAAGAAUCAGGGGCUUCACCGUGUGUAUCCUUACAGAGGGUCCAAAACCAGGCAUACAGAUCAAAACAGAGGAAGAAGAGGAACCACCUCCCAACAUAGUGAUUCCUCAAAUCAUGUCAGCACGUGUGGCAGAUUAAUUGGCAAGGAAAAAGUCAGAGAGGUUUCCUUCCCUUGUUGCAGCUGUUAUGUCUAGCCUUGGUGUCACUUCUAUGGCUAUCUUGGCAGUUUACUAUAGAUUCUCAUGGCAAAUGGAGGUAGCUACAAAAAAUCCUCUAAAUUUAUGCUCAUUUUCUUUAUGUAUCUAAGUAUUAUGACAUUAAUUUGUGUAUGAAUGUUGGAUUGGAUUGGUGUAUAGGGUGGACAAAUUCCUAUGUCUGAAAUGUUUGGCACAUUUGCCUUAUCAGUGGGAGCUGCAGUAAGUCCUGACCCUUUUCUCAAUUCAGCAUUGUGAAGCUCUUGAAUGUGAAAUUUGGUAACUUUGGGUGCUAAAUCCAACUGGGUAUGUCUGAUUUUCAGGUGGGCAUGGAGUUUUGGGCUAGAUGGGCUCACAAAGCUCUCUGGCAUGCUUCCUUGUGGCACAUGCAUGAAGUAUGCUUCCAAUUCAUCAAUUUCCCUUUUCUUCAAAAUUGAACCUUAUCAUCAAAUCAACCAAUUCAUUCAAUCAAAACAUGAAUUUGAAUCGUUUUGCAGUCACACCAUCGACCAAGAGAAGGACCGUUCGAGCUGAACGAUGUUUUUGCUAUAAUCAACGCUGUUCCUGCCAUUGCUCUUCUCUCCUAUGGUUUUUUUCACAAGGGAUUGGUUCCUGGACUCUGUUUUGGUGCUGUAAGUGUAUCUUUCAUAAUCUACUUUUUAAUCAAUUAAUCCCUUAAUUAACGGUUUCAUAGGGAUCUGUUAAUUGUAAUUAAGGAUUAAGAAUGAUAAUGAUUUGACUGUAAUGCCCCUGGUGAUUCUCUUUAUUGACAUCAUUAACUUCGAGCAGGGUCUAGGAAUCACAGUGUUUGGGAUCGCCUAUAUGUUUGUCCAUGAUGGAUUGGUCCAUAAGAGAUUCCCUGUGGGUCCCAUUGCCAACGUGCCCUACUUCAGAAGAGUUGCUUCUGCUCAUCAAGUAAUUGUUAUUUUAACCUUAAUCAAUUGCUUAAAUAAUAGUUUACUUUUGAUUAGUACUUGAUCAAUGUGGCGUGUACGUGUUUGUUUCUGUUUCUACUGGACUAGGAUUUGAUCUGAGAUUACUUUGAUUUUGUUGUCUGUUUUCAGCUACACCAUUCGGACAAAUUCAACGGGGUGCCAUAUGGGCUGUUUUUGGGACCAAUGGUGAGUCAUCACAUUCAUAUUUCUUCUCCUUAGGUUUGGUUUCAUUAAAAUAACCCUUUUAGAUGCUAAGUUAAUAUUUUAUUAUUGGUUAAGUGUUCAUGAAAAAACCUAGAUACAAAGUCAGUAGGUAGUCGCUAAGCAUUAGAAUUCUCAGCAAAUGAACACACUUCAUUAAGUAUGGAGGACCCUCUAUAUAGUCGAGGUCUCCCUAGAUUACAAAUGUAGAAAAUCAAACCAUUACAAAAUAAGAGGGAGAGAAUCAAGUGAUUAUAUUAAUAUGAAAAACAUAAUAAAGUGAGCUAAGAUUCUAGCGCAGUAUGAGUGACUUAGUCGGCCUAAUACCCUAGUAAGCCACAACCCUCCAAGACUUGGAGUCAAGCAAGUGUUGGCGACAAAGCCUUACAAUCCGGCCCAGAAGUGGUUUCAUCUUAGACCGCAUUUGGGUUAUGUUGUCAGCCUACGUAGUCCUAACUGUCUACUUCACUUGGUAUUUGUAAAUUUAAAAGAUUUUACUAGUAGUGGAAUGAAAUAGGACCUUAUAAUUUAUGAAAGUUUUUUGACAUAUUUUUUAUAAUUUAACAAAAUUUAAUUAUUAUUCUAAGAAUUCUAUUGACAUUUUUUAACUAUAUGUCGUAUUUAUUUAAAAAAACCAAUGAAGUUGUUUUUUGAAACUAAACCAAUAAAGUUAGAAGAAUUAAAAAAGAAUACUAACUUUCACUUUAUUGAAGUUUCUUCUGCAUAUAGUUUUGUUGAAAGUAGGUUGUCACAUUUAAAUUUCAUUGAAUUAUUGUGAGAUAAGAUGAGCGUGUGUGUGUUAGAUCUAAAUUUUUUAAUAAGCGUUGUUUAAGGUUUGGAUAUUUCUUGUGGUGCAGGAACUUGAAGAAGUAGGAGGGCUAGAAGAGCUAGAGAAGGAAAUAAGUAGGAGAAAAAAAUCAUAUACUGGUUCAUGAGAAACUGACUAGCAUUAAAUUUAAAGGUGUCUGAAAGAAUGUGUGUAGAGAACUAUACAACAAAUGAAUGAAAUGAUUUGAUUCUUUUUUGCGCUUACACAGUUUUUGAUCUUAAUUAUAUAGGGAUAUUUAGCUAACAGAACAACAGGUUCAAAACUAUGUAGAUCAACCGAUAUUGGUGGUGAUCUUUCAUUCUUCAUUUUUAUUUUUCCUUCGUACAAACAUGCUCACUCAUGUGGAUACAUUAAUGCCAUAUAAAGUCCCUAAACCCUCAGAAUUCAACCAAGAAUCCAAGUGACUUUUUAGUGGAGAUUUGUUUUUAAUCAGCGUUUUAUUCUUUAUGAAAAGUGAAAACAAUUAGGGAUGAGAACCGUCAGUUUCGGGCUCGUUUAGCCCAGCCCAAUCCGACCAAAACUGACAUGGGCACUGUGCACCCAUAUUCGGCCCAAAUAUUGGGAUCAAUUUGUUCAGGUGAGAUGGCCAUCAUAUGGGUUAGCACGGAUUGGGGCACCCAAAAUUUUUAGUCUUCAUAAUUUAUGAGUUUUGAUUAUAAAAAAUCUGUAAUUUUCAAUUGACUAUUAUCUUGGGCCACAUUAGCUGGUAUUUAAUAUUUUGCUUCAAUUUAGUUUCAAGUAAAAAAACUUGACAAUAUGUACUUAAAAUAAUGGGCUAACAUUUUGUAAAAAGCUCAAUUUCAUAGAAGGAAAACAUAUGCUGAAAUCCAACAUGCAAUAUACAAUUUAAAAGAAUAAGCAUCCACAUGUAUAUUUUCAUAUUUAAACCUUUCUCUAGUUAUUUUGAGUUUAUCAUGCUCUUCCAUUUUGAUAACAUUUGUAUUAAUUUCAUAAACAAGAAGUUCCAACAACAAUUCAAUCCAACAAACUAAGAAGAAAUUCCAUACUUUGCCUUUUAUUUCUAAUUGUCUAUGUUUACUUGGGUAUCUUGAAACUAACUAAUGUUCAGAAAAAGCAUUUAUAAAAAUGGAUAGGUUGAAGUAGCAUAUUUUCAGUGAUACAGUAGUAUUGAACACUCGAUACACCCCCUUCACAAAUAAAUAUUCUUUUUUUUAUUAAUGGUCUACUUAAUCUCCAAAGCGUAAGAGUGGUAAGGAAUCGCUCAAGCGGGCUAGCCCAUAGAGUGAUUACAGCUAAUUAAGAAGUAAGUCCCUAAAGGCAGUAUCGAUGCCAGCAGGUUCUAAGGGUGGAAGUAGGCUAGAUGACUCGUUACGAGCCCGCAACCUAACCCAUCAAAUAUCUGGUAUGAGCUGACCCAUGUAUUAAAAAAAGUUAGGCUUAAACUUUCUAAAAAGCUAGAUUAACUUAAAAGACUAAGCUCAAACUAUAAAAAAGUAUGUUUGACCUAAUAGACCAGCUUGCUAACGUAAUAUUAUCUGUAUUAAUAACAUAACAUAAAUAAAUAAAUGAAAAUGUGAUGAUACGUAGAAAGAUCAAUUAAUUCGCUAACUCACUAGUCUUUUUAACAUUAUAUUUUAUGUUAAAUAUGUUUUUAAACAUGCUAAUAGACUAGAUCAUGUCCUCUUAAAGGCUAGGUCAAACGUUAGAAUCAGACUUAUGAUACGCCACAAGCCAACCUUGGUUCAUCUCAUUAGAAUGAGGGUGAGAUUUAGGUUACUCAAAGCUCUUAUGACUUAGGCAUAAACUUGGGAAAAGAUCCACAUUCCAUAACACACUAGAUCAAAAACAAAAUCUCAACCGUCCACCGUACCCAAAAGAUCGCCCAAAAGAUCCCCGAUCCAACGGCCAAGACAAGCCCGACGAACCUCCAUUGAGGUAGGUCCCAAUCUCGACCAAGACGGGGCCACGUGUCCGCUGGAGACCAACCAAAGCCAAGAUGUGAUCGCAGGAAAAAGAAAAGUCAGAAAUAAUUUUAUUCUAGAGCCCCCUUUUGCCAUCAUCUGACGCGUGUCCCCCCGCCAUUCGUAAUUGACAUCGUUGUUGUUGUUGUUGUUGUUUCCUUUCUUCUCUCAUCAUAUGUUAUCAACCGGUUACUUCUUCUUCUCUCUCUCUCUGUCUUUCUCUGAACAUUGAUUUUCACUUUCGUUUCCUACACAACUACGUUUCCUCUAGAUCCAACUACUUCCGUUACCACUAUUCGCUUCUCCUUUGUUUUUCCUACCUCAAUCGCACUCUGUUAGGUCCAAACCCUCUUUUCUCUCUAUGCCAUUCCCCCAGGUUUGUUUUUAUUUUAUUCUUAUGAAUUUUGCUUUCAUGGCUAAUUGGAUCUGGUUUUCAAUUAUGUGCUGGAGUGAUUGAAUUUGGUGAAUUUUGAUGUUUUUAAUUCUGGAUUCAGUAGAUCUUGUUGUUUUUUUAAUGCUGGGGGUGGUUGGGUUUCACUUCAAUUCAGUUCAUUGCUUUCUUCUCAACAAUUCGGUAGAUCUAGUCACGGUUAUAAUGAUUCUGGUUCGUUUCAGAUUCUCUUUAGUUGCAAAACAAGUAGAAUUUAAAAAACCUGCAAAUCAAGCUCAUUGAAUCUAGCCAUCUAGGUAUAAUUGGCUUGAAUUUUUUUGGGGUAUUAUGUUCAGGCAAUAAUUCAUUGAGUUUAUGGAUGAUAUAAGUUGGUGAAGGACUUCAAUUUGAUUGUUAGGUGGCUGUGAUGUUGGUAGAUGGUUGACUUUCAAUGUAUUAGUUAAGGCUUAGUUAGUACUAUCUAAGUUGUAUGUUGGUUGAAGCAGUAUUGAUACGAUGUCGACAUAGUUAUGUGUUUGUGAUAUUGAUCUAAGUCUUAAUUUGGCUUAGUUAAAUUUUUAUCAUUAUCCUUUCUCAGGUUUAUAUGGCGUUUUUCCUCAUCCGUUUAGGGAAGUGUCUGUUUUUUUUAUCAGUUUAUGUAGCUAGGAAUAAUAUAGAUUAAAACGUGCAAACUGCAUAUGUAUAAUGUAUUAAUGUGUCUUUAUGCAAGACACUUUCAUCCCUCCCUGCACUGUUCAUUCAUCUAUACACUUGACUUGAGAACUUGAUGUACUGCUUUUACAUGCUAUCAACAUGAUUUAGUCAUGCUACUGUUUUCUUUCUUUCCUUUUUAAUCACUACUACUUUUAUGAAAAUAAUAUAGAAUUUAUCACUUCUAAUAUUUUAAUCAAACCUAUUUAAUGACUGAAACUUGGAAAUUAUUGGUUAUAAUUUGGUAUGAACAUUUGAAUUUCUCCAUAUCUUCUAUUUUCAUAAUUGUGGUUAUGUAUGUAUAUAUAUAUAUGAUAUAAUAUAUUUGGUAGUUUUAAUUGAAAUUUCGUUAGUGGUGAAAUUCUUUGGUUCCUGUAAUUGUUCAUUUGCAUGUUCCAUGGUGGCUUGUCUAGUCACAUAAACUCCUCCAUGCCCCGAUUUCUUUGUCCCCCUCACCCCCAUUACCUAGCUGUAAAUAAAUCUUGUCUCUUUAUUUUUGACACUUUCAGUUUCUGAUGGUUUUGCUGUAUUUUUGCUUAUACUGCAGUUGGGAAGGGUGUACUGGAAUCAGAGUGUAGCGGCCGGGUGCAGAUUUAUUGAUAGUCUCGUCGCUUUUCAAGGAUGGGUAAGUGCAAAGGUUGCGGGAAGUUAGGAAGAAUGAGUACAAGUUAUGGAUCUAAGAGUAUUUAUGAAUUUUCUUUGAUGCUGUCUCCUGUUGUUUCUUUUUGGGACUGUAUAGUUCGCAAAAUGAGGUACUCCUACAGACCUGAGUGGGUGUAGUGGUUUCAGAACGCGUCAUUAGUACUAGCCUUGAUACUUCAACCUUCCGAUCUGUGAAAUUAUAGAUAAAUGUAUACUGCUCUGAAGAAAAUCUCUUGAAGGAGGAUAGGAGUUUAUAAAAGUAAUUUUAAGUAUUUACAUUGGUAGUAAGUUCUAUGGAUAGCAUGGCAUGUAACAAGGGGCAACAAGUGAGAAAGACGAAGAAGAAGCAGGUGAAAGAUGAGUUGGAUCGUCUGAAACAGGCUGAAAAGAAAAAGAGGCGCUUGGAGAAAGCACUAUCUACUUCUGCUGCCAUCAUCUCUGAACUGGGGAAAAAGAAACAAAAGAAGAAAGAAGAACAACAGAGACUUGAUGAAGAGGGUGCUGCAAUUGCUGAAGCUGUUGCUCUGCAUGUCCUGCUCGGUGAAGACUCGGACGAGUCGUGUAACGUUGUCAUUAAUGAAGGUGGGUGCAAUUCGUGGAAUUAUAAUCAUGGUCUUGACUUCUUCAUGGGUGGAAAAAGAGCUUGCUUUCCUCAUCUAGAUGGCGGAACAUGGUCUGUCACUGCUGAAAAUGGCAACUGGUCUUUCUCAUCUGGGCCUUUCGAAUUUGAAAAGAAUGUGCAUGAGCCACUUUACGAAGAUGCCGGAUGGGGUUGUACGGGUUUAUCUGCUGAUCUGAUAGCAGCACAAGCAGCGAGAUCGCUCCAUAUUGCAGAGGACACCGAUGAAGAUAGGAUUCUCUUCUAAUUCUAAUACUGUUUUGUCUUUGAUGGUGACUUGAUGAAGUCUCUUGUUAUUUUACUUGAGUUUGUCAUCUGUAUAUAAUUAUAUAUCAUGAGUCAUGUGCUUGUCAAACACAUUCUGCUUCAGUUGUGAUUGAACACAUCAUGUUCUGUUCUGAUUUUUCUUUAUCUGUAUGCUGUCCUGCUAAUUUUUGUGUGUAGUGACUUUCAAACUCGAGCAUAUUUAUACUUUUUUGAGCUGAUUACCAAUAAUAUGAUUGAUCACCUCGUUAUUUAUAUUCUUGCAGUGUUGGCUCAUCAAUUACAUCUCAUAAACAUGUUGUUUGCCAAUGUUAUUAAUCCAAGUUUUUUUUUUUACUUGCUCCUGUCAAAGUUUACUCCUUGCAUGGCUCUCCCUGUAUGUGUCUGGAUACAAGUUGCUCUAAAAGGACUUUAAAUCGAACAAAAUCUCCAAGUAUUAUUUAACUUUUUCUCUUGAAAUUCAUGUGAGUGUGCUUUUAAUAAGCUGAGUUUGUUGCAUUUUCUGUGGUGAUGUGCCUUUGUAGAUUGAAAGAUCUUUCUAAAGAACAAGGAACUUUACAUCAUAUGUUGGAUUCUCACUUUUGGAACAUCUUUAGUUGGUCUUUGUGCUUUAAGCUAGCACACACAAUUGAUUAGACUUUUCCUAGUAAUUCACUAAAGAUGAAUACAGAUGUACAAUGUCAUGGUGGUGCUGCCACUUUCAAUUUGAAGUCAUUAAAAGCAAAACCCAAGUGUGUGAUGCACAUGUCAAGUACUAAUGAACAAAGCACUGAGAAUGCAAGUUGGGAAGGGCGGCUGAAAAUUUAUAACAAGACCACAUAUGAUGCUGCAUAAAUUGGGGAAAUCCAUGUGAAGACAAGAGCCAUGAUGGAUGUGUUAUUAAUUUAUGUGAAUGUGAUGUUAGCAGAUUCGUUAUUGUUGACUACACUAUCUUUUUGGUAAUGGAGUUCAUUGCUUCACGUCAUUUGAUUUCAUUUGAUUUUAAUUUUGAUUUUUAAUACAUUCAUACUCACAUUUUUAUUCGCUCUAUUUUCACUCACUGACUUUAUUUUCACACAUUGACUUUAAAUAUUUUUAUCUUCUUUUUUAUAUGGCAUGAUGAAGUUUAAUGUGAAUAUCAAUGAAUAGUUGAGAGCAAUAUCGAAAUUUCACCUACAUUGUGAACUGCAAACAUGUUCUUUUGUCCAAUCACUCUUCCACCACCUCCCACCACCCGUGCCACCACCACCUUCGGCAACCCAUCCCCCCACCUUAGCCAACCACCACAAAACACCUAUCAUUCACUAUCUUUGAAUUCGAUCUCAAAUUUUAUAGAACAACAGUGCGUGUCUUUCAAAUUGGUUAAGAUUUUUUGGAAACUUUUGAUUCAAAACGUGAACAAAAAGAAGCAAAGUACAAAUAUGAUAGCGAAGGCAAUACAGAACAGAGAGUGAGUAUGCCAUCAUCGCUCAACACCAUACUUUUAUGGCGCCACAAAGUGAAAGUUGAAUUUUUUUCAUACUUUUAACUUUGUAGCGGAUUUCCACAAAAGUAAGGUGUUGAAAGUCAUCACCUUUUUUUAGUGGUUUACCUAUUGCCACUGGUAGUCGAAUAUGAUUUACACCAUAUCCUUUGCGACGGAGGUGUAUGACUUUGUCUAAUGGUGGUUGAUGGUGAAUUGGUGAUUCUGUUGGCUGACGGAGAAGAAUGGUUGGUGCUGGAGACUGAGAGACUCAAAUAAAAAGGUAACUUUCUUAAUGUAUUGUGUAUUGAAUCCGAAGCAUUAAAUAUUUUAAUAAAAUAUCGUAUGAUUGUGUAACAUACCGUAUUUUAUGUGACUCAUUUUAGACAACACAGUGUGAUAAAAGUAGAUAGCAGCUAGGUUACAUAAGAAGUGUAUUUUUGAGUGGAGACAACACGCUUCCAUUGCCCCCACUUUCUUUAGAAUUGCACGCAUCUUAUUGUUGGCUGGAUGGAUGUUAUCAACUAAAGUCGCUAAAGGUAUCCCCACCCAUUUAAUUUAUGGGGUCACACUUCGUGACAAGAAUCUGAAUUUUAAUUUUAUAAAAAUACAAAAAAUUACUAUAUGAAAUGGAAGGAGGGAAGUUAAAUAUAGUGCAUAAUUUCUGUAGUCCAUUAUUUGGAACUUGUAGGUCCAUCAAUACUGCUAAUCACAACUCACAAGCACAUUUUAACAAAAAAAGGAAUAUCACAAUUCACAGCACAUUUUAGUAGUUUCUAUGUUUAGCAAGUCUCCUGAAAGUUCUAAAAGAAAACCAUUACAUAUCCUAUAUGACAGUCACAGAUUAUCUUCAUUCUUCAGCAACACAAAGUAUUGUAAUUGAAAUUAGAACUUUCAAAAUAUCAAUUAUAUUAUACAAUCAGACCUUAAACAAACCUACAGCUGAUCACAACUUUGACUGAUUCAGCUCUAGAACGAAUGAAGAGUAUUGCACAACAUAAAAGAAUAAAGUAUACAACAAUAGAUUUAAAGCAUCCCUCCAAUGCCAAGAAACAGGAUAUUCAAACAUUUGUAAGAAACUAUCAAUGAACCAGUGCAAUAUAAGGAGCCUAUAGCAGUCUUCCAUGAGUAAAUAUUCAUGGUUUUGAUGCAAUUUCUUUAAAAGACAAAAAAACUGAUCAACAAAAAAUUUGAAGCCUAGGUAAUGUUGUAAUAACUCUUUAGCCAUGUGAUUUUUGCUUUUUCAAUACUUCUGCAAGAACUGCUUAGGCUAUGUUUGGAUACUCGCUAGCGCCAUUGUUAACUCAAUCGAUAUCCAAACACAUACUUACAUUUGCAGCAUUUACCUAUCUCUAUCUGCCAUCAUUGGUCAUUAGCUGGUAAAACACAUCACUCCUANNNNNNNNNNNNNNNNNNNNNNNNNNNNNNNNNNNNNNNNNNNGAAGGAUCUUGGAGCUGAAGUGCAUGUUCCAAAUUCCACAAGACAUCACCCAUAGUUGGCCGGUCAACACUAUAUUGAGCCAAACAUUUCUCUGCUGUUUCGCCAAAUUUCNNNNNNNNNNNNNNNNNNNNNNNNNNNNNNNNNNNGCCCAUUCUGCUAAAUUCACCUGUUCCCUGGUGAGUUGCGGAUCAACAGCAGGUCUGCCACAUAGUACCUCAAAAAGCACAACCCCAAACGAAUAAACAUCCGAUUUAUCCGUAAGCUGCUGCCUCCGGUAAUACUCGGGAUCAAGAUAACCGAAACUGCCUUUCACACCGGUACUCACAUGUGUUUCAUUAAUGCACGGCCCAGAUCUUGAAAGACCGAAGUCAGCAACCUUGGCAACAUAAUCUUCAUCGAGCAAUAUGUUGGUUGAUUUAAUGUCACGGUGGAUGAUUCCCUGAGCAAAACCAGUGUGAAGAUAGUGGAGACCUCUAGCGGCACCAAUGCAUAUCUCUAGACGCUGCUUCCAAGAAAGAGGUGGCAGUUUUGCUGAGCCAUAUAGAUGCUUUUUCAGUGGACCUUUUUCAACAUACUCAUAGACAAGUAUCAUUUCUGAAUUUUCUUCACAAAAACCGACUAGUGAAACAAGGUGGCGAUGGCGAAUUUUGGAUAAAAUUGUUAUUUCCGAGUGGAAUUCUGGAAGGCCUUGUCUGGAACCAGGCAUGCCUCUCUUGACAGCAACCUUUACAUUGUCUUUGAGCACUCCCUUGUAGACCAUACCGAACCCACCCGACCCUAUAAUCAAACUCUUAUCAAAAUUGUUUGUUGCUGAUUGUAUUUCUGCAAAAGAGAACUUCAAGCCAAAAUGUCCAUGAGAACCAUGUUCAGAUGUUCUACUAAGUGAACUCCCUCCAAACAUUCGCAGAGGUGUCCAUCCAACACUUUCCACUGACCUUUGUUUCGGUUUCUUCUUCUUGCAUUUGUAAGCAAGUAAUAAAGCAGAUACAACAAAAAAUAAGACCAAAAUUCCUCCAAUAAUUGAACCCAACACCACCCUCAACUUUUUCCUUUUGUGCACAACUUUAGUACUAUCCACAUCAUUGACCAUCUUCAUUACCUCUGCACCAUUCAAUAUGGCAUUCAUCCUUAUAGUACUGCUCAGGUCAGAAGGACCAACACUUACUUCAAUAACACCCGAAUCAUCUGAAUUUGUAACGAAAUCCACAUAGACCGGUGAUGCAAGCUCAUGAAUCGUAAGGGUUGACAAAUCAAGAUCCUUAUAUGCACUGUACCUAUUGAUAUACACAUCAAAGUAGAGCAAGUUCAGAGAAGGACUAACAAUAUCACAGAAAUGCAACCUUAUCAAAUAUGGAACACCGCCAGGAGUCACAGGAAAGUUCCAUGUUAAGUUGAAUCUUGAAGCUAAGAUUGUGUUCUCCUUGUUCAUCUGCUGAGCAGUCAUGUAAACAUAUUCAGGCGCGAUCUCUCGAGUCGCGCCUCCCUUCUGAAAAUUCGGUAUGUGAGUGCUUACUGCAGCCUUAGCUGCAUCCUUAACAACCAGAUAAUCCUCAUCAGGAAUCCAAGUCCUCCAAAGGGUAUCAUUAAAAGGAGUUAUUUUCAAGCCUCCAACAUUAAUCCUAUGAACAGUUUCUAAAACCUGAGAUGAAAGGUUUCUAUACUCCUCCACUCCAGAAGGACCAAUAAACCUUGUUCCAUAAUCUAUGAUGAAAUCUACAGGAGCAGUAAACACCUCCAAAGCAUUGACAAAACCAAAACCUGAAUUACCAACAGGUCUAAACAAAAUUUCAAGCAGGUUUGAUUCUAUCUUCAAAAUAAACUCUUUAAGCAACACAUCAUUUGGUGGCCGGAAUUCACUCAGAACAGAAACCCCAUUAACCAAGACACUAAAUUUAGCAGAUUUCAGAUCAAAACUUGAAGCUUUAAAAGGGAAAAAGUGGAAACGCACCAAGUGAGUACCGUUUCUCUUCAUGCUGAAUCUGUAUUUCUCAGUGCUUGUGAACACUCUGGCUGUGUGGUACAAAACUGGCAAAUUUGGAGGUGAGUUUUGGUUAGUGAGAGAUAUGGAAUCAUCUGCAGAGAGAAAACUGGAACCUGGGUUGGUGGAAUCACUGAUGAAGACUCUGUUGAAGAAGGAAGCAUUGGUGUGUGAUCCACAGUUAAGAAGGAAGUUGUCAGAGGGAGUGAAUGGGGCAGAGAAAGGCAUGAAAAGGAGAAGCAUUAAAAUCAAUGGUGUACGCUUUUGAGACUCCAUGUGAGAAGAGCUUUUGGAUUCUUGAAGAGUGUGAGUAUCAGGGUGAGGAAAAUCCAUGUCAUGAGAAGGAAGAAGGUGCAGAAGUGUGAACAAUUACAAAGGUGAAACAGCAAACAAGACAACAUAGACAGAGAGACAGUGACUUGACUCAGAGUGGAGAUUUGGAAAGGAAAAUAUAAUAAUAUUGUAGUACAAACAUAAAUGGAUUUCGUUACUGAAGUCAAAGGAUUUGCACCUCCUUUUUCAUUUUGCUUUUAGUUGGUAAAUUUGUCUUGAAACUCAUCAUUUUUGGAUGUUUCACACAAAUCUACUAAGAGAGUUUUCCCCUGCCUCGAGUUUAAUAUAGAGUGAUUUUAUUUUAUGCAUGUUUGGUUUCGAUUAUAGCAUUACUAAACAUGAAUUAUUUGUUACUUUUAUUAGAUGUCGAUCAAGUCUAGAGGUAGAUCUAUUUGGAUUUUCCUAACACACUUCAUCAUUUUUUAAGAAAAAUCACUGUCAUUAAGAUUCAUUGAGUUAUAUAAGUAUGAGAUACAAGUUUUGAUUAAUAAAGUGUUGCUUUAGUAGUAAGCAAGUUAGACGUCUUAUAAAGAUGAGAGCAUACAUUUAAAUUCGUGAAAAAUAUUCAUUACAAGAGACAUGCAAUCGUUUUUCAAAUGAAUAACGAUAUCCGUUAAAAAUAAAAAAUAAACAAAUUCUCACAAUAAUUUUAACAAAUAGUAAAAAUGGAAGUGUUAGAUAGAAAAUGUUAAUGAGCACUAUUCCUUAUAAACACACUAUCCCUCACCAAAAAAAUUGUACAGAAAACUGUUUACACACUCUUUUUUAGGCCAGCAUCUUGUGUUUACAUCCCAAAGAACUGUUUGCAUAUCAUACUUAAUUAAUGGGCAUUUGACAAAAUUUCUCAGCUUAGGUAAGAAAUCAUGCACCUUUCAAUCUCAAAAUCAUAAAUUGGCAUCCACAUAUUGUUGGGUGUACGUCUCCCUCAACCCUUAUCUUUUGAUAUAUCAGAAUAUAUCCAUGCGAAUAAGUUUUAGUGAGUUCCAGU
rnacentral:lncRNA from 1 species